UAUUACAUUUAUUCAUUCAUACAAGUCAUUUGAUUACCUUUGUAUCAAAUACGAGUAAAUCUAUUCUUUUUACAUUCAUUUACAAUUACAUCACAUUUAUUUCAACCCAAAAUACAAAUUUACAUUUUCUAUCUUUACAUCAUCUACAGUUCAACACCUACAGUUGAGUAUACCAAAGUGUAGGGUAUGCCUAUAUCUCGAGGGCUGCUAGCUACGGCGCAACACCCUUGCCUCGAUCCUACGCUGCCCCGCUCGCGCACGGAUCUGUAAGGUUAGUGGUAAUGAGAACUAGAACGAAGUUCCCAGUGGGUUCGGCCGCCGACCGAGCCGAUUCACCCACUAGGUCUAUUUCAGGCAUAUGUAAUUCAAUAAAGGUAGAAUUGCAAACCAACUAAUGCAACUAUUACAAUGCCUGCAAAACAAAUGUCAGUAGACAGAUAGAUAAUCGAUUUAAUGAAGAUUAUGCAUGCAUGUCCAUUUUCUCUUUUCACUUGGCCUUUACCCAAUUCAUCCGGGGUCUAUCUAGAUCACCCCAAGCUCACAUUUCAUAUGUCCCAUCUAUCGGGAUUAGCAUUUGAUAAUGCCCCCGAGGAACCCAUCCCAUCUACCGGGAUUAGCAUUUAAUAAUGCCCCCAAGAGAUCUUCGCCGGGCACUUCCACCAGUGGUGUCUACACUCCGGAGUACACCGCCUGUGGAGGAGCGACCUCGCAUAAACCGAAACCAAUACAUGUGAGUACAAUCCCAUCCCCAGUUUGAGGAGGUAUAACCAACCUGUCUCAUUUCUCAAUGCCUCAAUGCCGAUGAAAGGUCUUUACCUAUUCAUGCAUAUACCACUAUUUUCCAAUGUCACAAUGUCAUUGUGGGUUAAACCUUGUUUAACUGUUCUCUUUCCAUUGCCAAUCAAGUUACUAUAGUCAAUGUCACCAUUGUUUACUAUUGUCCAAGUCCUCUCUCGCAUUCGCAUACACAUAGGGUUCAUAUACAUUCGUUCCUUGCAUUCACUACUCACAUGGUUCUUUACCAAUUUACAAUGUUCUUUAAGCAUCUAAAUGCGAUAUUUAACCAUGCACAUACAUCUCACACAACCCUAUAUGCAAGAAUGCAACAAUACAAUUUGCUCAAUGAAGUGACAUAAAUAUAGAAAGAGAUCCGGUGUUUCCGGACAGCAUCCCCCACCUUUAUGUACAGCAUCCCCCACCUUUAUGUGUUACAAGGAUGCCAUGAUUCUGUUCCCGUGAUUUCUUGACGCUUUCGUCGCGAAUUAUGGCACGACGAAACUGAAAUACCCCUUUUUCCUCGAUUCCUUCGCGUACGCUCGUCGUAUCGCCGAACGGAGCGCACCAACGCGUUUGUUAACCUAUCAAUUAGGUUAGAAUGAGAUCAAUCCUAAGCUUCGACUUCAUAUUUACAAAACCCUAAUUUUGGGUCCCUAUACAAAUCAUCUUCCCCAACAUAGGUCCUUAGCCAUGAGAAACGUGGGAAAAAUACUAUAAUCCAUCUCCUAGAAGCAUACUAGAAGGAAAAACUCAAACCCUAGUUCAAAAAUCAUGAGAACUCACCUUUAGAGUCCAAAGCUUUCCUUCAAAAGCCUUGCUCUAGCUUGUUCUUCACCUUGGAGAGCUUCUUCUCCAAGCUUGCUCCUCCAAAAGCUCUCUUAACCAAACCCUAGGGAGUGAGAGGGAGAGAGGAGAAGAGUUUUAGAGAGAGAAAGGGAAAGGUUUGAGUGUGAGAGAGAGAGCAAAUGAGCUCUCACUCAUGCCCUAGCUCAAAUAACCCUUCACAUGUCACAUUUGCACUUAAGCCCUCUCAAUUUCCAUAUUUAUAAACAGCCCUUACUGGGCAAUUCCCGCAGUCGGGGACCGGUCUCUCCCUCAAGGACCGGUUCCCGAGAGCUACCCCGCAGCCUUCGCAGAAGGGGACCGGUCUCCCACCGGUGCAACCGGUCUCUCAAGACCGGUCUCUCACCCAGGGACCAGUUUCCGAGAGCUCGAUUUUCAGGACUUGGCCGAUUUUUCUCCUCUACUCGGCUGAUAUGCUUUCGGGGACCGGUCUCUUACCAAGGGACCGGUCCCUCACUAAGGGAUCAGUCCCCGAGAGCCAAAAUUCUGGGACUUCACCAGAAUUGCAGUUUCACUCUCUCGGGUCCCUUUAUACUUUAUAUAUAGACUCCAACACCCUUUUAGCCUAUAGUAACUCAUUCCUUUCCGCGUUCCGCUCGUUUCAAUAGAACUCGGCACGACUCACGAGGAAAUGCUAUGUUACAUUCCCCGCCCCUUAAAAAUAGUUUUGGCCGCGAAACUUAACGCGUACCUUAGCUCUCUUGCUCGAACAAGUGAGGAUACACCUCGUGCAUCUUCUCCUCGAGCUCCCAUGUGGAUUCACGCCUCGAGUGAUUACUCCAUUGCACCUUCACAUACGAAAUAGUCCGAUUCCGUAGCUUCCGCUCCUCUAGACCAAGAAUGCUCACCGGGAAUUCUUUAUAAGUGACAUCUUCGUGUAACUCCACCGGCUCAUACUCCAAUACAUGCGAGGAGUUCCAGAAAUACUUGCAAAGAUUCGAAACGUGAAACACAUUAUGCACUCCCGCAAGCUUCGGCGGUAAUGCUAACUUGUACGCCACGGGCCCGAUUCGCUCGAGAACCUCGUAGGGCCCAAUAUAUCGGGGACUAAGCUUCCCCCGAAGACCAAACCGCUUCACUCCUUUCAUAGGCGACACUUUGAGAAGCACUCGGUCGCCAACCACAAAUUCUAAAUCCUUCCGGCGCUUAUUUGCAUAGCUUCGUUGCCGGGAUUGUGCCGUCACCAGCUUCUCACGAGCAAUGCGGACCUUUUCUUCUGCUUCUCGCACCACAUCUGGACCAAGGGCGACUCUUUCACCCACUUCGCUCCAAUGGAUAGGAGAACGACAAUUUCGUCCAUACAAUGCCUCAAAUGGCGCCAUCGCUAUACUCUCCUUAUAACUAUUAUUACAAGCAAACUCCGCCAUCGGCAAAUACUCAUGCCGUCCUCCAUGAUAGUCAAGCACACAUGCUCGCAGCAUGUCCUCGAGUAUCUGAAUUGUCCUUUCAGAUUGUCCAUCACUCUGAGGAUGAAACGCUGUACUGAAAUCGAGCCGCGUGCCUAGAGCAUCUUGCAAGCUCUUCCAAAAAUGAGAAGUGAACCGGGGGUCUCGAUCUGAUACAAUCGAAAUGGGAACCCCAUGCAAUCUCACUAUCUCGUCCAAGUAAACCUGGGCUAACCUGUCUCCUGACCACGUGGUGUGAAUCGGCAAGAAGUGAGCCGACUUCGUCAAACGGUCCACAACCACCCAUAUGGCGUCAUGUCCAGCUUGCGAUCGGGGCAAUCCGACCACAAAAUCCAUCGCGAUAUCCUCCCAUUUCCACACGAAAAUUGAUAAACUCUGCAACUUUCCCGCGGGAAAUCGACGCUCGGCUUUUACUUAUUGGCACGUUAAGCACUGCGCCACGAACUCUCCAAUGUCCUUCUUCAUACCCGGCCACCAAUAAUGUAGCUUUAGGUCCUUGUACAUCUUAGUGCCGCCCGGGUGUACACUAUACGGGGACUGAUGUUGUCACGGCCCGGGACCCAGCGGAAGCCCGCCCGGCGCGUGUCCAGACCCGCCGUACGUUUAAAACAUACAAGGCGUCUAAAAUAAAGCAGUAAAUAAAACAAUACAAGAAGGCAUCUAGGAGUAUCAGAGCAAAGUAACUACGAAAUGCUACAAUAAGAAGAAGAUCAUGAAACUGAUAAUCUGCUAGGUAAAACAUAAGAUAAUACAAAAGGAGUCCCAAAGCAAGUACAAAUCUGAAUAUAAUGUGGUCUCUCUAUACAUGGUGCCAAAACUCUCCCUCUCUCUAACACAAACAAGAGAAGGAGUAACCACCUAUCGCAAAACGGACUCUCUCCCGAGCUAGCUACGCGACACCCUUGCCGCGAUCCCGUGCCUCCGCCGGUGCCGAAGGCUCUGAAAGGAAAACAUAGAAACAGAAGCGUGAAAACUAUUAAAUAAUAGUUUCCAGUUGGCAAUUACUGACUUCAGUGAAAUCCGCCACUAGGCCCAAAACUACAAAAGCAGGUCAGUGUACAAGUAUAAGCCAAAACGAUAAGAACAACUAGGAAAUAAAUAUGAAUACUAUUCAACCAUAAUAUCUCUACUUAGCAUGAUUUGCAUAAGUAAGAAGGCAAUUACUACAAGUAUGUGCACAAGAGUAUCCAACAUGCAAAUGCAUAAGUAUGCAACUAAUCCAAUGUCCACAAUGUAAAUAGUAAAGAUGUCAUUGUUUAUUAUUCUAGUCAAUGUCCACUUGUCACUUUAAUUGUUUAUAGUUCAACUUUGAUAAGACCCACCCGAAGGCUGUCUUGCAUAAGACCCACCCGAAGGCUGUCUGGCUUUACCGUGCCUAAUGGCCCCGUGGUAGUCAACAUCCCCACCCUAGGAAUGAGCCUUUCCCACAGCAAUCCACUUCGGUGCCCAAUCCCGCAGGCAAACGUAUCGCGAUGGCCAACUCCGGAGUGCCGGCUUAUAAGGAGCGACCCUCACAAGCGUGUGCGAAUGAGCACAAUGGCAAGCAUGCAUAUCAGUCCGUCUCAAGCAUCAAGUCCUCAUGUCUAAAACAUGGAAUACAUGUCAACUGUGUGGAUGGCCUAUCACUAUGUCAUCAUGUCUAAAACAUGGAAUAUAGUCGAUGCCCAAUGGUCUAUCACUAUGUCUCUAUGUUGCAUUCUCAUAGUUUGCUAGUUUCAAGUGCCCCUUUAUGACACUAUUGUUCAACGAGUUCAAGCAUGGCAUUUAUGUUCAUGAUACGUAAUUCUACUCAUUUCAAACAUAAGAGACAUGUUCUCAACUUGCAAAGCCAACCACCUUUCACAAUGCAUGCAAUCUACGCAUAUAGCUCUACUAUAUAGAGUGUAAAUUUCAAGAUAUAUAUAAGGCAUGCAUAUCAAGUGUUUUAAAAUUUAUAUAAAUCAUGUUUAACAUGGAUUUGCUCCUAAAAAGACUUUACGAAGAUUUUAGAAAGCAUAGGGGCCAUUUUGCCCCGUUUUCAUGAAGUCAAACCCACCACAACUCUCGAGAUCCUUCAUAAGCUCCGACGAAGGUGCCGACUAGUCUCCUAACACCCAAAAGAUGUAGGAACAAGGGUUAAACAAAUCUUACGAUCAACCCUAAGCUCAAUCAAUAAGUAACCUAGGCAAAGAUGGAGGAAACUCACCUUAAGUGAAGAAAUCCUCACUCAAACUCCAAAUGGGGGCAAGAACCCUCCCAACCCAACCUAAAGGAAGGUUCUAAACCAAUCAAAAAGGUUCCAAAGCCCUCAAAUCAAAAAGCCCCAAAACUAACCCUAGAAUCCCAAUCUAGGGUUUCAUCAAGCAAAAAGCUUCAAAACUAGAAUCUAGAGGAAAAGAACUAGUCACAUACCUCUAGGAAGCUCCAAACCAAGUCCAAGAUCCUCAAGGUUUGAAGGUUGGUCCACCACCAAGCUUCAAAAGCAAGCUCCAAGUCCCCCAAAGGUGAAAAAUGAAGAAGAAGAUGAUGCUCCAAGGCCUCCAAAUAAGAUCCUCUCCUUCUCCUUCUUCUUCCUCUUCUUCUCCCUCUCUUCUUCUCUCUCUAGAAUAGGUGUGAAGGGGAGAAAUGAGGAGGGAAGAGAGUGAAAGGGCCAUAUAGACCAUCUAGUGCAACAAAAUCCAGAGAAGCCCCUCAAAAAUUCAAAUUCACAUCAGCCCGGUCUGGGCAGUUUUCGCCUAGAGGGACCGGUCUCCCCGACUUGAGACCAGUCUCUCAGCCUGCCCCGAAAAUCCCACGUUCGGGAACCGGUCUCUCCUCGCAGGGGACCGGUCACCUCAAGCCCUGCCGCAGCACUGUGCUGAGGGGACCGGUCUCUCGCAUCAGGGAUCGGUCCCCGAGAGUGAAAACUCUCAGGACAUGCCAAAACUCUAGAGAUCGAACUUUUAGACCGGUAUACCAUCUACGGCCCUCCGCCAAGUGUGGAAAAGUUCAGAAUACAUAUCAAACACUCGAACCUCGCAAUUUGCAAAGGUCCAGUGUGCUACAGAUGUGCCUCCUGCAACACCACUUUGCGAAUUUCUUCAUCCUCGGGUACACAUAACCGGUUUCUGAACCGAAGGGCACCGUCGGAUCCCAUGCCGAAAUCACCGGCGCGCCCAUCAUUAAUGUCACUCCACACCUUUCGGAGAUACGGAUCAUUAUUUUGCCGCUCCUUGACUCGCUCCAACAACGUUAGUCGAACCACUAGUGCCGCCAAGAUAGUCGGAACUUCCGGCGCCACCACUUCCAAUCCAAACCAGUGCAUUUCUCUUUGCAACAAUGGUUGGCUAGUAAUCGUCGUCGCCAAGUUCUCAACAGAUUUUCUACUCAGCGCAUUGUCACGCCCCGGGACCCAGCGGAAGCCCGCCCGGCACGUGCCCAGACCCGCCAUGCGUCUAAAACGCAUAAGGCGUCUAACAACAACAAUAAUAAAAGCAAUAGUACAAGACAUCUAGGAGUAUCAGAGCAAUAUCAAUGUCUAAAAGCUAUAACAAGGGAUAAAGUUAAAACUGUAAAUCCACUAAAUAAAACAUAAGGUAAAUACAACAGGAAUCCCAUAACAAGUGCUAAAAGGAGUACAAGGUGGUCUCUCUAUACAAGGUACAAAAUCUCUCCCUCUCUCACAAAAUAUGAAAUAGAGGAGUAACCACCUAUCGCAAAAGAACUCUCCGCGAGCUAGCUACGCGACACCCUUGCCGCGAUCCCGUGCCUCCGCCGGUGCCGAAGGCUCUGAAAAGUAAACCAUAAAACGAGGGCAUGAGAACUAUUAAAAAUAGUUCCCAGUGGGCAAUUACUGACUUCAGUGCAUGCACCACAAGGCCCAAAGCUACAAAAAAUGUCAGUGACAAUAAAAGUAGAAAGGCGACAGGUAAGUAAAUAUGUAACCUACUAUGACAUGAUAUCUCUACUUAGCAUGAAUAGCAUAAGUACGAAAGCAACUAUGCAUAAAGUAAAUAUCUCCAACUAUCAUGAUGUUCACAAUGUGAAAUAGUGAAGUUCCGUUGUUUACUAUUCUAAUCAAUGUCCAAGUAGUACACUAAGUCAUCAUCUGUCCACAUGUCAUAAUGGAUAUAUAUAGCCCCAAUCUGAAGACCCACCCGAAGGCUGUCUAUGGCCCUGAGACCACCCUAGGCUUCUGGCCGGUUGCCGAGCUAAUGGCCCCGUGGUAUCAUCAUCCCACCCUAGGGGAGCACUGUCCCACGCAAUCCACUUCGCGCGCAAUCCCGCACGCGCGAAUAUGUAUCGGCGAUGGCUAUCUCGAGUGCCGGCUUGUAGGGAGCGACCCUCACAAGCCAUGUGCGAAUGAGCACAAUGGCAAGUAGUCAAACGAUCUGUCGCAGUACCAAGUCCUCAUGUCUAAUAACAUGGAAUGUAUCGAGUGUCCCAAAGGCCUAUCUCUUGUCAUCUGUCUCUAAACAUUGAAUAUAUAUAGCAGAUGUAAAAGGCCUAUCAAUGUAUCUCUAUGUUGCAUUCCAUAGUUCACUAGUUUCGAGUGCCCUUUAGACACUCUCUGUUUUCUAUGUCAAACAUGGCAACUAUGUUCCAAAGCACAUAUUUCAAGUCAUAAUCCUCAUAAGAGAUGUAUUUUCCACUUGUAAAAUAAACACUUUUUCCAUAUGCAUGCAUUCUACUCAUAUAGCUCUACUAUAUAUGUAGAAAUUUCAUAAUACUCGAGGCAUGCAUUUUAAGUGCUCUAAAAUUCAUAUAAAUCCAUUUAGCAUAGAAAUGAACUUAAAAAUAUUUUACAAUAAGUAGAAAGAGACAUAGGGUCAUUUCGCCCAUUUCCCGCGAAGCCAAAACCCCGAUGGCAACGAAACUCCUCGUGCGCGUCCAACGAGGGUGUCCUCUAGUCUCCUAGUACCCUAGAGGUAGAGAAACAUGCGUCACACGAACGAAACGAACCAUCAAUAGCUCAAUCAUUAAGCUAAUCAAGUAUAGUGAGAAGAACUCACCUCUAGUGCAAAAAUCUCCUCUAAAGCUCCAAAAUGAAGCUAGGGCUCAUUCCAAUCCAACCUAAUGGAAGCCUCUAAUCCAAUCAAUCUAGCUUCAAAAAGCCUAGAUUCAAAAUGCCCAAAUAAACCCUAAUAUCACAAUCUAGUGUUUCAUCUCAUGAAAUCCAAUGAAACUCAAAUCUAGAGGAAGAUAGUGUAAUGCUUACCUCUUAGAAGCUUCAAUCAAGCUCUAAAUCCUUUAAAUCCCAAGAUCUAUCUCCACUUAGCUCCAAAUCCAAGCUUCUAGCUCCAUCAAUGGUGGAGAAGCAUAAAAGAGGAAAGAAAAGGGAUUAAUCCUUCAAAAUCUAGGCUAGAGGGAGAUUAAAACAAAGAGAAGCAAAGAGAAGCUCUCCUUACCUUGCUCCCUGCAGUGGCAAGCUCAAAGAAGAGCCCUAGGGCGUGGGUGCUGUUAUAGUAUUGCUACAAUAGCAAAAACCCCUGCAGAACAAACUGCACGAAAUCUGCCUCUUGUACGGUACACGGGCUUUGUACCGGUACAAGGCCGACGAAAUUGCAAACCGAGGCUCGGGUCGCUGCGUCUGCGGCUCUGUACCGGUACAAGCCGAUGGCUGUACCGGUACAACAUCAACCCUUGUACCGGUACAAGGCAGUCUUGUUCGGUACAAGCCCUGCUGCGGCUACUCGGAGAGCUGUCCAAAAAUUCGAUUUUGGAAUUUGGUGCCAAGUCCCACUCCAACAUCCUCGGAUGCGUGCCAGGGGUCGGGACACUAUCAACGACCCUCAAAAACUGUGGGAAAGCUCCAAACACAGAUCAAACACUCGAAUCUUGCGAUUUGCUAAAUCCAGUGUAUUACAUUCACCCCUCUUAAAAGGAGUUUCGUCCGCGAAACUCGAAAGCAAAAGCAUACCUCAAGGCUCCAUCUGAAAAAGAUGGGGAUAGCGCUCUUGCAGCGCACUCUCUAGCUCCCACGUGGCCUCCCGCUCCCCGUGGUUGCUCCAAAGGACCUUCACAUACGGAAUAUCCGAUUCCGCAGCUUCUUCACCUCGCGAGCCAAAAUCUUCAGUGGUUGCUCCUCGAAGCUCAAAUCCUCACGCAGCUCCACUGGUACAGCAUCCAAAACAUGAGCUGGAUCAUGAAUGUACCUCCGAAGGACGAUACAUGAAAGACGUUGUGUACGCCCGAUAGUUCGGUGGUAGAGCAAGUCGAUACGCUACCGGACCUACACGCUCCAAGAUCUCAUACGGCCCAAUGAAAACGGGGCUCAACUUUCCCCGAAUCCCGAAUCCGCGAAUCUCUUGAUUCCUCUAGUCGCGCAAGCUUACCUUAAGAAACAUGGUCUCCAACUUGGAACUCAGUCCCGCUCGUCGAUCUGCGUAGCUCCUCUGUCUACUCUGCCCGUCAAAAGUCGCUCCCGAGCCAAUUCGAACCUUAUCCUCAGCUUCCUGGAGCACAUCAGGGCCUAGAGCCAAACUCUCGCCGACUUUCACUCCAAUGAAGUGGCGAUCUGCACUUCCGUCCAUAAAGUGCUUCGAAGGGCGCCAUCUUGAUGCUUGCUUGAUAACUGUUGUUAUAAGCAAACUCCGCCAUAGUAGAUGCUGCGACAUCCCCCUGGAAGUCUAUCACACAUGCGCGAAGCAUAUCCUCUAAGGUCUGAAUAGUGCGCUCGACUGUCCAUCACUCUGCGGUGGGAAUGCUGUACUGAAAUCCAGCCGGGUGCCUAAGGCGUCCUGUAGACUCCUCCAAAAGUGAGACACGAAGCGCGUGUCGCGAUCAGAUUACAAUCGAUGUAGCGCACUCCAUGAAGUCGCACAAUCUCAUCAAAGGUACACUUGUGCGAGCUUCUCUCCCGUCCAAGUCGUAUGAAUAGGUAUGAAGUGCGCCGACUUCGUCAACCUAUCCACGAUCACCCAAAUAGCGUCAUGCCCGCCUGUGAGCGUGGCAAUCCCGUCACAAAGUCCAUAGUGAUCUCCUCCCACUUCCACACUGGAAUAGGCAAACUCUGAAGCUUCCCCGCUGGAACUCGGUGCUCUGCUUUCACUUGUUGCAAGUUAAGCAUUUAGCUACAAACUCGCCAACAUCCUUUUUUAUCCCAGGCCACCAAUAGAGCACUUUAAGUCCCUGUACAUUUUGGUGCCUCCCGAUGUAUAGCAUAGGGCGCCGGUGCGCCUCUUGAAGAAUUCCUCUUUAAUCCCCGAAUCCGCCGGUACACAAAUCCGUCCGGCGAAACGCAUCAAUCCAUCACCGUCUAAGUGAAGUCACCGUGCAACAUCAACAUUUUCCUUUAAUCUUUUGCAACUCCACAUCAGAAGCUUGCUUUUCUUUAAUCCUGUCCACAAGGUAGCUGCACUACCAAUGUCAUCAACCUCAUAGGCGUGUCAGGAGUCACUAUCUCCAACUCCAACCGCUUCAUCUGCUCGAUCAACCGCGGUUGAGUCACAACAUGCAUCGCCAAGUUUCCAUCGAUUCCUACUUAGCGCAUCUGCCACCACGUUAGCCUUGCCCGGGUGGUAAAGAAUCGUCAGAUCAUAAUCCUUGAGCAGCUCCAACCAUCUCUGCGCUGUCUCAGCUUCAACUCCUUCUGAGUAAACAUGGUACUUUAAGCUCUUGUGAUCGCGUGUAUACUUCACACACGUUCGCCAUAAAAGGUAGUGGCGCCAUAGCUUCAAUGCGAACACUACGGCGCCAACUCCAAAUCAUUGCGUCGGGUAGUUCUUCUCAUAUUCCUUUAGCUGGCAGAAGCAUACGCGAUCACCUUGCAUCCUGCAUCAAUACACAGCCCAAACCAUUAAGUGAAGCAUCACUAUAAACCACAUACCCGCUCCAGCUACUGGUAGGGUCAAGAUCGGGCGGUAGUCAAUCGUUGCUUCAACUCUUGGAAGCUUCGCUCGACAGCAUCAUUCCAGAUGAACUUAACACCUUUAUGCGCGAGCCUCGUGAGGGGAGUAGAUAACUUAGCAAAUCCCUCGACAAAUCUCCGGUAGUAACCGCGCAAUCCAAGGAAACUCCGUAUCUCCGUGACGCUCGUCGGUCUCGGCCAAUCCUUGAUUGCUUCAAUCUUUUUGUGGAUCCACUGCUAUACCUGAUCCUGAAAUCAAGUGUCCAAGGAAGCUACUCUCGAAGCCAAAUUCACAUUUCUUUAACUUGGCAUAAAGCUCCUUUUCCCGAAGUACUUGUGAGUACAAUCCUCAAGUGUUCCUCGUGAUCCGCAUCACUCCGAGAGUAGACCAAAAUGUCGUCGAUGAACACCACGACGAACCUGUCUAGAUAAGGCUUAAAAACACGGUUCAUCAGAUCCAUAAAGAGUGCGCGGGCAUUAGUAAGCCCAAACGGCAUAACUGUGAACUCAAAAUGUCCAUACCCCGCGUUCUAAAAGCCGUCUUUGAUACGUCCUCGGGUUUGAUCUUCAACUGGUGGUAUCCCGACUGCAAUCUAUCUUGGAAUACACACAUGAUCCCUGAAGCUGAUCAAACAAGUCAUCGAUCCUCGGCAACGGAUACUUGUUCUUGAUCGUGACCUUAUUAAUUCACGAUAAUCCACACAAAGCGAAGUGAUCCGUCUCUCUUCUGACGAACAAAACUAGUGCUCCCCAAGGCGAAACACUCGUCGAAUGAAGCCUUUGUCCAACAGAUCCUGCAACUGUGCCUCAGCUCCCUCAGCUCUGCCGGUGCCAUCCUAUAGGGUGCCUUUGAGAUUGGGUAGUCCACGGGAACGAGAUCUACCACAAACUCAAUCUCCCUAUCAGGGGCAUACCCGGUAGCUCAGCUGGAAACACAUCUUGGAACUCGCCGCACACCGAAUAUCCUCAACCCUAGGGCGUCAUCUUCGCCCCUCAGCACAACCUAGCCAAAUAGGCUACACAGCCUCUGCCUGAUCAACUGCCUAGCUCGAGACGAGCUGAUCGUCAUCGCAAACAGCGAACUCCGGCAUCCACUAAACACCACUUCAGUCUGCCCAGAUUUCUCUAAAAGUAACCGUGCGAUUCUGCAAUCAAUCGUGGCAUAAUACUUGGUCAACCAAUCCAUGCCCAAGACCACAUCAAAAUCUCCAGCUUGCGCAAAGCUAGCAAAUCUACGGGCAUGAUCCAAUCUCCUACCCGAAUAGGGCAACUGGGCUAUACUCUCUAAUAUCCAAAAUGUGUCGAUAAACAAACAUCUCCGUAUACAACAAAGAAACAACGAGAUGCCAUGCAACUCGGCAAACAGCCGAUCUAUGAAUGAAUGCGAUGCACCGGUAUCAAAUAAGCACGAACUCUAAUGCCAUCAAGUAAAAUGAUACCUGCAACACAUCCUCGGCUGCCCUCGGCCUCCUCAGUCUGAGCGGCAUACAUGCGCCCACUCGGGGCCCUGCGAGAUCCUCGCUCUGGCGCUGGGAGGGGUCGCCCAGGCUGGUACUGUGUCGAUGGAGUCCCUGGCUAGCGACUGGUAAGAGCCGGUGCGAUGCAGUUCGACGUGCGGGUGAAGAACCUCUCGGGCACUCGUACGCACGUGGCCCUCCUGGCCACACUGGAAAACACUGCCGCCCACGUGUGGAACUGCGGUGGUAGUGGGACCACCGCAGAUCACACACGGGGAAGGCCUGGCGCGAUCGGAUCCUCCUCGAUGCGCUACUGAGCCGCGUCCACGCUGCUGGCUCCUCGGAUGCUUCGGCGACCUCCUUAGAGUGCAUCUGGCUCGCACCCUCAGCCGCAGCCUCUUGCCUUCCCUCUGUCCCUAGCCUCACGCUGCUCCUGGACCUCUGUCGCGCCGCUCUCCACGAUGAGCGCACGAUCCACCACCUCCCGAUAGGUUUGAGGUUAAAGGAUUGCACGAACCGAAAAAUGACGGUCUCAGCCCUCGCUCGAAAAUGCGGGCCUUGUCCUCGUGUCCCGCACGACGAAGGGCACGCAGUGCAGAAGCCGAGAAAACUCUCUCUCGUACUCGGCUACAGUCCUGUCACCUGCGCAAGCUGCGCAGAUCCUGCUCCAUCUUCCUCUUGACGCUGGUCGGGAUGUAGUGCGCCAGAAGAAGCUCCUUGAACUCGUCCAAGUGAUAGAUGCCAAGUCAGUGCGGGGGCUCCUGAAAGUCUAACCACCAGCGGUAGCCUCGCCGUCCAAGUGGUGAGUGGCGAGCCAAACUCUGUCCCUCUCCUCCACGAAAGUGUCGCGAAAGAGCUUCUCCAUAUGCAUCAACCACUUCUCAACGAUCCAGUGGUCGACCUUCUCGCAUCGAAGACUCGGGGACUGCACCUCCUGAACUCAUUGAGGCGCUCCAUCAGUCUAUCUCGCUCCACCCUCAACAAAGUAGGGAAAGCUGCUCCAACCGGGGGCCUCUGCACAGCGGUGCUACCAAAACCUCCUCCUGGGUACGGCCGCAGGCGCCGCACGCGAAGAACUAGGCGCGGGGGACUGCGCUCUCGGCGCAACGUCCACAACUGGUGCUGCGGCGUGUAGGCCCUGCGUCUCCUAGAAGCUGCUGUCUGCUGCAGAAGUAGAUCCCAGGCCUCAUCCGGCCUCCUGUCGGCGCGCGCCUCAGUCUGCUGUCGGGCGCCUCCGCUGCUGAGUGACUAGGUCGGUGAGGGCUGCAAGCUGGCCCUCAACUCACGGACCUCGCUGGAUCCGGAGGUAGCGGAGGUCUCAACCUCCUCGAAGUUUGCCGCAUUGUCCGCUCCGGCAGAUUUGGGAGCGAGUAAUCGGCAUCAUCACUACAACAUCAUAAAAGCGCAAGUUAGUAAAAACCCACGCUAUCGCAUCCCGCUCAAAUAAACAAUACCCAAAUCAUGCGAAAGUAUGGAAGUGCUCUACACUACAACUCCCGAUGUUACGUUGUCGGCCGCCAACGUAACCCCCGCGAAGUUAGGAGUUAUACACUUCAAUUUAACUCCACUUUCUAGAGUUAUUCAGAUACCCAAUUUAGAUACUUUCGCUUACAAAUCGAAUAGACCUGUCUCUCACGAGCCUAUUUCCUAUAGUCCAACCGCCUAAGGUUACUAGGUCCCCUAAGACUCAACCCUAGGCUCUGAGACCAAAUUAAUCUGUCACGCCCGGGACCCAGCGGAAGCCCGCCGGCGCGUGCCCAGAACCCGCCAUAUGUCUUCAACAUAUAAGGCGUCUAAAAACAACAAUAAUAAAAGCAAUAAUAAAAGACAUCUAGGAGUAUCAGAGCAUAAUAAAUGUCUAAAUGCUACAACAAAGAUGAGGAAAAAGCUGUAAAUCACUAAAUAAGGCAUAAAGUAAAUACAAUAGGAAUCCCAAAUACAAGUGCUAAGAGUAGAUACAUAGUGGUCUCUAUACAGGCUACAACUCUCACUCUCUCAACUACAAAAGAAAGAGUAAACCACCUAGGCAAGUAAGCUCCUCGCUAGCUAGCUACGCGAUCCCUGUGCCCGAUCCUGCCUCCGCGUGCGAAGGCUCUGAAAAGGAAACCAUAAAACGAGGGCAUGAGAACUAUUAAAAAUAGUUCCCAGUGGGCAUUACUGACUUCAGUGCAUGCACCACAGGCCCAAAGCUACAAAAGAUGUCAGUGACAAUAAAAGUAGAAACGACAGGUAAUAAAUAUGUAACCUACUACGACAUGAUAUCUCUACUUAGCAUGAAUAGCAUAAGUAUGAAAGCAAACUAUGCAUAAAGUAAAUGUCUCCAACUAUCAUGAUGUUACAAUGUGAAAUAGUGAAGUUCCGUUGUUUACUAUUCUAAUCAAUGUCAAGUAGUAACUAAGUCAUCAUCUGUCCACAUGUCAUAAUGGAUAUAUAUAUAUAUAGCCAAUCUGAAGAACCACCCGAAGGCUGUCUAUGGCCCUGAGACCACCCGUAGGCUGUCUGGCCGGUGCCGAGCCUAAUGGCCCGUGGUAGUCAUCAUCCCCACCCUAGGGAUGAGCCUGUCCACGGCAAUCCACUUCGGCGCCCAAUCCCGCACGGCGAAUAUGUAUCGCGAUGGCUAUCUCCGGAGUGCGGCUUGUAGGGAGCGACCCUCACAAGCAUGUGCGAAGAAGGCAAAGUGGCACAAGAGCAAUCGAGUAAAGAUCUGUCGCAAGUACCAAGUCCUCAUGUCUAAUAACAUGGAAUGUAUCGAGUGUCCCAAAGCCUAUCUCUGUGUCAUCAUUCUCUAACAUCGAAUAUAUAUAGCAGAUGUACAAAGGCCUAUCAAUGUAUCUCUAUGUUGCAGUUCCAUAUGUUCACUAGUUUCGAGUGCCCCUUUAUGACACUCUUGUUUUCUAUGUCAAAAACAUGGCAACUAUGUUCCAAAGCACAUAUUCCAAGUCAUAAAUCCUCAUAAGAGAUGUAUUUUCCAUUACUUGUAAAUAAACACUUUUCCCAUAAUGCAUGCAUUCUACUCAUAUAGCUCUACUAAUAAUGAAAUUUUCAUAAUACUCGAGGCAUGCAUUUUAAGUGCUCUAAAAUUCAUAUAAAUCCCAUUUAGCAUAGAAUGAACUUAAAAAUAUUUUACAAUAAGUAGAAAGAGCAUAGGGGUCAUUUCGCCCCAUUUCCCGAAGCCAAACCUACCGAUGGCAACGAAACCCUCGUGCGCUCCAACGAGGGUGUCCUCUAGUCUCUAGUACCUAGAGGUAGAGAACAUGCGUCACACGAAGAACGAACCAUCAAUAGCUCAAUCAUUAAGCUAAUCAAGUAUAGGUGAGAAGAACUCACCUCUAGUGCAAAAAUCUCCUCUAAAGCUCCAAAAUGAAGCUAGGGCUCAUCCAAUCCAACCUAAUGGAAGCCUCUAAUCCAAUAAUCUAGCUUCAAAAGCCCUAGAUUCAAAAUGCCCAAAAUAAACCCUAAUAUCACAAUCUAGGGUUUCAUCUCUAUGAAAUCCAAUGAAACUCAAAUCUAGAGGAAUAAGUGUAAUGCUUACCUCUUAGAAGCUUCAAAUCAAGCUCUAAAUCCUUUAAAUCCCAAGAUCUAUCCUCCACUUAGCUCCAAAUCCAAGCUUCUAGCUCCAUCAAUGGUGGAGAAGCAUAAAAGAGGAAAGAAAAGGGAUUAAUCCUUCAAAAUCUAGGCUAGAGGGAGAUUAAAACCAAAGAGAGCAAAGAGAAGCUCUCCUUACCUUGCUCCCUCCAGUGGCAAGCUCAAAGAAGAGCCCUAGGGCGUGGGUGUGUUAUAGUAUUGCUACAAUAGCAAAAACACCCCUGCAGAACAAACUGCACGAAAUCUGCCUCCUUGUACGCGUACACGGGCUCUGUACCGGUACAAAGCCGACGAAAUUUGCAAACCGAGCUGCGGUCACGCGGGUCUGCGGCUCUGUACCGGUACAAGCCGAUGGCUGUACCGUACAACCAUCAACCCUUGUACCGGUACAGGCCAGUCUUGUUCCGUACAAGCCUUCUGCGGGCUACUCGACGAGCUGUCCAAAAAUUCCGAUUUUGAAAUUUUGGUGCCAAGUCCCACUCCAACAUCCUCGGGAUGCGUGCCAGGGGUCGGGACACUAUCAACGACCCUCCAAAAACUGUGGGAAAGCUCCAAACACAGAUCAAACACUCGAAUCUUGCGAUUUGCUAAGAUCCAGUGUAUUACACGCAUCGGCCACCACAUUGGCUUUACCGGAGUGGUACAGGAUAGUAAGAUCAUAAUCUUUUAUCAGCUCCAACCACCGCCGCUGCCGCAUAUUCAACUCUCUUUGGGUGAAUAGGUACUUGAGGCUCUUAUGAUCGGUAUACACCUCACAAUGCUCAUCGUAGAGAUAAUGCCUCCAUAGCUUAAGCGGGAAAACGACCGCCGCCAGCUCGAGAUCAUGUAUCGGGUAGUUCUUCUCGUAGCUUUUUAGUUGGCACGAAGCAUAUGCAAUGACUCGCCCAUUUUGCAUAAGAACACACCCGAGACCGGUGUAGGAAGCAUCACUGUACACCACGAAACUCUCUCUCGGUGUUGGCAAAGCAAGUACCGGGGUAGAUGUCAACUUCUCUUUCAACUCUUGGAAGCUUCGGUCGCAACCGACACUCCAGUCGAAUCUUACUCCUUUGUCCGUAAGGCGUGUGAGAGGAAUAGUCAACUUCGCGAAUCCCUCCACAAAACGCCAAUAAUAUCCCCCUAAUCCGAGGAAACUGCGGACUUCCGCCACACUCGUAGGACGAGGCCAAUCUCGAAUCGCCUCAAUCUUCUUUGGGUCUACCGAGAUUUCACUCCCGGAUAUCACAUGGCCUAGGAAGGUCACCUCCGAAAGCCAGAAUUCGCACUUUUUGAGCUUAGCAUAAAGCUUCUCGUCUUGGAGUAUUCGCAACACGGUCCUUAGAUGUUCCUCGUGCUCCUCUUCACUCCGCGAAUACACCAACACGUCGUCGAUAAACACCACGACGUACUUAUCCAAUAACGGUCGAAAGACCCUAUUCAUCAGAUCCAUAAACGCUGCCGGGGCAUUGGUAAGCCCAAACGGCAUCACCGUAAACUCAUAGUGGCCAUACCGCGUACGGUAUGCCAUUUUAUGCACAUCCUUCGGCCGGAUCUUCAACUGGUGAUAUCCCGACUGAAGGUCUAUCUUCGAAUAUACCGGCGACCCUUGCAAGUGAUCGAACAGGUCAUCUAUUCUCGGUAACGGGUAUUUAUUCUUGACCGUCACCUUAUUCAACUUGCGAUAGUCAAUGCAAAGUCGAAGAGUAUCGUCUUUCUUUUUCACAAAUAACACCGGUGCUCCCCACGGGGACACGCUCGGUCUCACGAAGCCUUUAUCGAGCAAGUCCUGUAAAUGGGGCUUUAACUCUUUAAGCUCUACCGGUGCCAUCCUAUACGGAGCCUUCGAAACUGGCACCGCACCGGAAAUCAAGUCAAUGACGAACUCGACCUCCCGAUUCGGUGGUAGUCCCGGUAACUCCGCCGGAAAUACGUCCGGAUACUCACACACCACCCGAAUGUUCCCCAACUCCGGGCACUCCUUUCGAGGGUUCACGAUGGUCGCCAAGUAAGCUUUGCAACCACCCUUAAUCAUCUUUCUUGCCCUCACUGUCGAUAUAGUCGCCACAAAGCACGCGCCUUUACACGCCCGAUACACUAACUUUUCCUGAUUAGGCUCCCGGAAUGUGAUAGCCUUGUUCUCACAAUCUAUGGUCGCAUAGUAUUUAGAGAGCCAGUUGGUCCCUAGGAUCACAUCGAAACCCCACAUCUGCUUCAACACCAAUAGGUCGAUCAGCAUAAUCCAAUCACCUAUUUGUACGGGGCACGCCAAGCACUCGUCUUGAAUAUCAAAUGAGUGCUCGGGAGUAUUCACCGACCAACAUUCCUCACUAGGAGUGAUCUCGAUACCAUGAGUUCUAGCAAAUGAUGCACCUAUACAGGAAUGCGAUGCACCAGUAUCGAACAAAGCUCUAGCUCUAGUGCCUCUGAUGAGGAUAAUACCUGCCACAACGUCGUCGAGUGCGGCAGGCUGCUCCUCCACCUGAGUGGCGAAAACCCGUCCACUCGGUGCACGUGAUCCCUCCGGCUGACGCGGUACUGAAGUGCGCCCAGCCGACAUAGCAGGUGGCAGUCCUCCAAGCUGUCUUGGAGCAUACUGAACUUAUGCAGCUGACGGAGCAGGUGACGCGCCGCCCGGGCAAUCCCAACUCAAAUGUCCCGCUUGGCCGCAUCGAAAGCACCUCCCGUCACGCUGAGAGCAUUCAUGGGGCCUAUGACUUCCACCACAGAUCACACAUGGGGAGGAGGUCGUCUGACUCCUGGACUGGCCUCUGCCACCCCACCACUGUGACCUAAGGUGUCGAGGGGGUCGCUUAGAACUCGACUGCCCCGCGGAUCCACCAGCCGGUCGUUUCUUAGACUUCUCCUUUUCCUUGUCCUUUUCAAAAGCCUCGCGCUCCUCGCGCGCAAUGGCGUUACCGCGCUCCACCCACAACGCGCGAUCAAGUACUUCUUCAUAGGUCUUCAACCGGAGCGCAUGGAUAGUCUUGAAUAUUUUCGGCCGCAACCCGCUCUCAAAGACUUCCGCCCGGUCCCGGUCACCAUGAACCAAGCCGGGAACACAAUCCACCAUGUAAGAGAACUCCCUUUCAUACUCCCGCACCGUUCGGCUUCCUUGCCUUAAUUUGCGAAAGUCCUCCUUGAUCUUCCGCUUGUCACUUUUCGAAAAGUACUCCAUCAGUAGAAUCUUCUGGAAUACCUCCCAAGUCAUAGUAGCCGGAUCCAAGGACCAACCAUUCUUCACUCUCGUCCACCAUGAUCGAGCCGGCCCCUCCAAAUAGUGAGCCGCCAAACGAACUUUGUCCUUCUUGAGGGUGUAGAUAUCCUCGAAUAACGCCUCCAUCACGGAAAGCCACGACUCCAUCAACCAGGGUCUUUCACAUCACCCGCAAAGGUCGAAGGGUUAAACCGCUUGAAGGCCGUCAACGCCCCCAACGACCACUCCUUUUCGGCCUCAAGUACCUCCGGAAUAGGAGCCGAAGAACCAGAAGCCGUCGGAGGAAUAGCCGUCACCGGUGCCGCCGCCACCGGUGCCGCCGCCACCGGAGUAGGUGCCACAGGUGCGGGCGGGUCCUGAGAUACAGGUGCAGCCGCCGCCGCCUGUCGAGCCACCAACUCAUGGAACCGUACUAUCGGCUCCCAUUGUUGUUGCAUAGCCCCGGCCAAAGCCGCUACUUGGGCCCGCAACUCCCGAACUUCAUCAGACCCACCUUGCUCGGGCACGUCAUCAGGCAAUGCCGGAGCAGGCCUACGCGCGUAGCGUCCCGGUGACACACACGUCAAUACUCGACAUCCGAGACUCUUACUCGUUCCAAAUAACUACCCAAUCAAGCGAAAGCAACCAAGCGUGUUUAUCUUCUACCCUCGGUAUUAUGUAGCCGGCCGCCCCACAUAAUACCUUAAGAAGAGAAUAAGCAAACACUUGAGUCCAUCUCUAACUCCUUUUAGAGAAGUUCUAAUUGUGCCCAAUCCAUAGCCUUCGCAUAUCCAAGUCCACGUUAUACGUGUCCUAAACUCCUAUGGUUUCCAAUCCUAUGGUCUCUAAGCACAUCCUAGACUUUUGCUUUCACAUCGCUCUGAUACCACACUAUCUGUCACGCCCCGAGCUCCGCCAAUUUGGUAGGAUUCGAGCACAUGAUAGACGCCGAACGGACAACACCUCCCCUGUUCGCCCAAGGCUCUAACAUCAAGUAUAUUACAAGCAAAUCAAUAAAGAGAAUUGCGAGAUAGACAAGGUUUGCACGAGGGCAAACAACAACAUAAACACAAGUGAAAGCACCUAAGCUAUUACAUUUAUUCAUUCAUACAAGUCAUUUGAUUACCUUCGUAUCAAAUACGAGUAAAACUAUUCUUUUACAUUCAUUUACAAUUACAUCACAUUUAUUUCAACCCAAAAUACAAAUUUACAUUUUCUAUCUUUACAUCAUCUACAGUUCAACACCUACAGUUAAGUACACCAAAAUGUAGGGUAUGCCUAUAUCUCGAGGGCCGCUAGCUACGGCGCAACACCCUUGCCUCGAUCCUCCGGCGCCCCACUCGCGCACGGAUCUGUAAGGUUAGUGGUAAUGAGAACUAGAACGAAGUUCCCAGUGGGUUCGGCCGCCGACCGCACCGAUUCGCCCACUAGGUCUAUUUCAGGCAUAUGUAAUUCAAUAAAGGUAGAAUUGCAAACCAACUAAUGCAACUAUUACAAUGCCUGCAAAACAAAUGUCAGUAGACAGAUAGAUAAUUAAUUUAAUGCAGAUUAUGCACGCAUGUCCAUUUUCUCUUUUCACUUGGCCUUUACCCAAUUCAUCAGGGAUCUAUCUAGAUCACCGCAAGCUCACAUUUCACAUGUCCCAUCUACCGGGAUUAGCAUUUGAUAAUGCCCCCGAGGAACCCAUCCCAUCUACCGGGAUUAGCAUUUAAUAAUGCCCCCGAGGGAUCUUCGCCGGGCACUUCCACCCGUGAUGUCUACACUCCGGAGAACACCGCCUGUGGAGGAGCGACCUUGCACAAGCCGGAACCAAUACAUGUGAGUACAAUCCCAUCCUCAGUUUGAGGAGGUAUAGCCAACCUGUCUCAUUUCUUAAUGCCUCAAUGCCGAUGAAAGGUCUUUAUCUAUUCAUGCAUAUACCACUAUUUUCCAAUGUCACAGUGUCAUUGUGGGUUAAACCUUGUUUAACUGUUCUCUUUCCAUUGCCAAUCAAGUCACUAUAGUCAAUAUCACCAUUGUUUACUAUUGUCCAAGUCCUCUCUCGCAUUAGCAUACACAUAGGGUUCAUAUACAUUCGUUCCUUGCAUUCACUACUCACAUGGUUCUUUACCAAUUUACAAUGUUCUUUAAGCAUCUAAAUGAGAUAUUUAACCAUGCACAUACAUCUCACACAACCCCUAUAUCCAAGAAUGCAACAAUACAAUAUGCUCAAUGAAGUGACUUAGACAUAGAAAGAGAUCCGGUGUUUCCGGACAGCACCCCCCACCUUUAUGUGUUACAAGGAUGCCGUGAUUCUGUUCCCGUGAUUUCUUGACGCUUUCGCCGUGAAUUAUGGCACGACGAAACCAAAAUACCCCUUUUUCCUCGAUUUCUUCGCGUACGCUCGUCGUAUCGCCGAACGGAGCGCACCAACGCGUUUGUUAACCUAUCAAUUAGGUUAGAAUGAGAUCAAUCCCAAGCUUCGACUUCAUAUUUACAAAACCCUAAUUUUGGGUCCCUAUACAACAUCAUCUUCCCCAACAUAGGUUCUUAGCUAUGAGAAACGUGGGGAAAAUACUCUAAACCAUCUUCUAGAAGCAUACUAGAAGGAAAAACCCAAACCCUAGUUCAAAAACCAUGAGAACUCACCUUUGGAGUCCAAAGCUUUCCUUCAAGAGCCUUGCUCUAACUUGUUCUUCACCUUGGAGAGCUUCUUCUCCAAGCUUGCUCCUCCAAAAGCUCUCUUAACCAAACCCUAGGGAGUGAGAGGGAGAGAGGAGAAGAGUUUUAGAGAGAGAGAGGGAAAGGUUUGAGUGUGAGAGUGAGAGCAAAUGAGCUCUCACUCAUGCCCUAGCUCAAAUAACCCUUCACAUGUCACAUUUGCACUUAACCCCUCUCAGUUUCCAUAUUUAUAAACAGCCCUUACUGGGCAAUUCCCGCAGUCGGGGACCGGUCUCUCCCUCAAGGACCGAUUCCCGAGAGCUACCUCGCAGCCUUCGCAGAAGGGGACCGGUCUCCCCCCAGUGCAACCGGUCUCUCACCCAGGGACCGAUUCCCGAGAGCUCGAUUUUUAGGACUUAGCCGAUUUUUCUUCUCUACUCGGCUGAUACACUUUUGGGGACCGGUCUCUCACUAAGGGACCGGUCCCCGAGAGCCAAAAUUCUGGGACUUCACCAGAAUUGCAGUUUCACUCUCUCGGGCCCCUUUAUACUUUAUAUAUAGGCUCCAACACCCUUUUAGCCUAUAGUAACUCAUUCCUUUCCGCGUUCCGCUCGUUUCGACGGAACUCGGCACAACUCACGGGGAAAUGCUAUGUUACAUGGAAGCUUUUCUGGCGGCUGGAAGCACACGGCGGCGGUCGGAGUGCGCGCGGCGUUGACAGGAGCAAGUGCAGAGGCCGCAGGGGUGGUCGUCUAAGGAGGCUAAAGGGCUAGGGUUAGGUUAAGCAUAAGGAAACCCUAGAUGCACUAAUAUACUAGCUGCUACAAUUGCGCAUAAGUCCUUGAAAACUUAGAUUUAGCUACUGCCUCCCUCACAGCGCGUGUAAAUCACAUGUACGCACCUCCACGUCCGAUCUCACGCGAUUCAGUACGUAAAAUAUAGGGGGUUUCGCGUGAGAUACAAAAAUGCCGUUUUGACCUCUCCUCGGAAAACAUGCAAUAUCUAGCGAUUCGUCCGGCGAAUUUUCGAACGGAUCACACUAGUGCGAUCAGCACGACAGUGAAAUCAAAUCCACAAUUUUGUUUCACCCCGUUUAGUCACGGAUUCGUGACGAAACCCGUCCUCUCUCUCCAAAUGGCGAAACUACACACAAAUACAUAUAAUCUACGUAUUUACAGUUUUCUCGAAAACCAUGCAUCAAACCUAAAAUCCAUCAGCGCCAUUGGUUCCAGAAUAGCUGAACUGUUCAAAACGAGCUAUUGGAUUGCUAUGAACGGAGUCCGAUACGCGCCAGAAGUCAACUCUACUCAUCAACCUCUCCGAAAAAUCGGAGUUACUAUUCACUUCAAGUGAUUAGUAUUGAUCGCGUAACAUCUCUGUUUUAACUCGUUUUCCCCCGAAACUUGAUGAGUGCUUUUAUAAUUAAAUUAUACACAAAAACAUCAUCAACAGAGAGUUUAGCUACACUGCCAAAAUCUCAGUCCUUACAGGACCCUACAGCCAGGGUCCGGACCCCGAGAGCAUUUCUAGCUCCAUUAGCUUGGAAUUUUCUCCAACAUGCUCUCCAAGGUCCCAUACACUUGCUUGACUAUUCCGAAGCACUCGGAACAUUUAACAGACCUCUCCAAAUCGUCCAUUACCACACUUUGGUCAAUUUGGCUAAAGUUUGGUAUGACGCACCGAGGAUUCGGUACACUACAGAUUGCGUUAUAUUUUUGGUGAUCCGAACGGAAAAUGUGAAAAUAUAUUCGUACAUACUUUUAUCUCAAAUCCGUUUUAGCUUCGAUAUAUAGGAAACUACAUAACUUUUAUUGACAUUAAAAACACAUUAUUUCAUAUUCUCUCUUUUCUUUUAGUACUAUUUUGCUUACUGUACCUAUUGAUAUAGUAAAUAAAGUUAAAUAAUUUAUUCAAAAUAAUUUAGAAUUUAGAUAAAGUUCUUAUGUCUACAAUUAAAAAAAUAUAAUAAAAUUUCGCCGCGAAGCGCAGGCCUAAACUAGUUAGAUUGAAUCUACAAAUCCAAAAAAAAUGCUAAAAUUGCAAAAGUGAAUGCCAAAAAAAAAAGGAAAUGAAAGCCUUAAUUAAGAAAAAAAACGAACAUUGAUAAACGGAUUUUUUUAUAAAAUAAUUUUCUAAAAUUUUAAUUUGUAAAAUGAUCUUAUCAAAUUUAUAUUUGACAAACUAAUGCUCUUUUCGUCAUGCAAGUUUUUUUUCCGAAACACGGUUAAUUGUUCACUGUAUUCUGAAAGACUCCAAAAUUUUUUAAAGACAGCAAUCGUUCACAACAUUCAUUAAAACGGUUAACGAUUUACCGCCUUCUUCAUAAUUUUUUACUACAUGGUAAGGAUUAUAUAUGGGAAAGAGAAAAAAAGUGAGGUUGUUAAAUUAUACGUAAAUUAUACGGAAAAUAAAAAAAAGUAAGAUUGCUUGGAUUGUUAGAUUAUACGGAAAAUAAAAAAAAGUAAGAUUGCUUGGAUUGUAUAUGGAUUAUUAAAAUUUUUAUUUGAUUAUUAAGGUUGUAUGAAUAGAUUAUUAUGAUUUUUUUAUUGUUAGAAUUAUAUGGAUAUAUUAUUAGAAUUUUUAAGUUGUUAAGAUUAUAUGUGAUGUUUGUGAUGUUUGAUUAUUAGGAUUAUAUGAAUAAAUUAUUAGGAUUUUUUUGAUUGUUAGGAUUAUAUAGAUAGAUUACUAGAAUUUUCAGGUUGUUAAGACUAUAUGUGAUUUGUUGAAAUAUUUAUAUGGUUGUUAAGACUGUGUGAUUUGUUGAUGUUGGAGCCGAAAUUUCCCGACCCUUGACCCGGUCAAAGAUCUUCCUCGGGAAGCACGUCGGGAUGCGAGACGACUGCGAAUAGUGACCCUCGAAGUUUGCGCCCUUCGACAGAUCAAGCAAUUCUGCUGAUGAGGGAUCAGAUCAGCCGGGUUCGAAAACCUCUACAGUAUAAUCGGUUUGGCUGGGAUGAGCCGAAUCCUCGAAACAAGCCAGAAAGUGGGCAGAGAAAAGAGCCGAAUGGCCAGGACAACUCGAGAUCUGGUCGGCCUGAAAAGCCGAAAAUGACUUUCUAUUAAAUGAAACCAAGGAAAUUACAGGGAGAUAGAUUUUUAGUCUACAACGGAGUGAUGCCCGAGGGGCAGACAGACUCCAGGACGCUAAGUUACAGGAACUACUCCUAGGAAAACAGUAAAUGCGAGAAAGAAAGAUGCAGGAAAAUAAAAGUGGUCUUUUGUGCGCAGGGGCGAAGACCCUUUUUCAAAGUAUCAUUGACCUAUUUAUAGAAUCGCCCCUGAUUCGGUUAUUACAUGAUCGGCCAUUACCUCCUAAAAUCUCGAACCACCUUCAGCCGAUCGAACCGCUCGCAACUGCUUGCGGUUGCUGUAACUUCCUAUUGGCGCGACGGUUUUCUUCUUUACUUUUUCGGUGCUCCUGGUGCACGGUCAGAUUAAUGCCUUUGAAAGCGAUUCCCGUCUACCACCUAUCUGUGCCUAAUUGGCUCAACAAUUGCCCCCUCGGCAGCUUUCGAAGCAACGCUUCGAUAGCUGGCGUAAUCUGAGACGCGAUUACUGUUCGAAUUCUUGGUGUUGGUUUCAUCUCAGCCGUCCCUUUUUCGCUGCCGAAAUCCUGUAAUUGCUUCGAUAACAAGCACGAUCCGAGGCGUCAUCCUAGGUCCAAUCACAUUCAAAAAUCUCUGUACCAGUACCAGACGUAAUUCGAGGCGUGACCCUCUGUAUGGUUCAAUCUUAGCCGUUUAUUUUCUUUCUUACGGCCCGAUCUCAAUUUUCAUUUUGUCUCAUCUGCGGCAUUAACUAGGUUAUCUUAAUUACCGCCGUCUACUCAUCAUUAAAGCCGACCUCGAAACUCGCUUCGAUGCGACGGUUCGAUAUGACGGCCUUUCUUCUUUUCCGAGUUUUUAUCUUUUUGUCUCUUCUACUUCUUCUUCGUCUUCCAUGAGACUUUUCUUUCGCUUCCCUUUCCUUCAUCUUCUCUGAUUUUAUUUUCCACUUGACUUUUCCUCUUUUCCUUUUCGACUAAUGGCGUUGGUUCCGCCUCUUCCUUCUCAUCCAUCCCUGGAUUAUACUAUACUUAAACCCUUCGUCGACUUAGACCCCUUUAGGUUUAUUUUGGGUCCUUCACUUACAGAAAUGCCAGCCCCUAUCGACUCGCCCUUUUCUAGCGACGGUCUCCCCCUGAGAAAAGCUAUUCAUCUUCAGUCUUGGUACUCCUCUGCUUCAACAGGAAAGAGUCUUCAAACUUGGCCAAGUACUUCAGAGGCAUAUUUAACUUGGUUAGAUCGAGUAGAAGCCGCCUUUGGUGACUUUUGGCGAGAGGUUGGGAUAUAUGAAGCUAUUCAAUUGUCUCGGCAUCCUCCUAUUGCCGAUAAUCUUCUUCUAGCCGCCGCUCUGUGUUUUUGGUCCCCCCACUUCUAAUAUUUUUCUUUUCAAAAGAGGACCUCUUACCCCCACUCUUUUUGACGUGGCCGCCAUUACUGGCUUGCGCCCUCAUGGCGUUUCUGUUUCUAUGUCUUAUAAUCCUGACGGCGUAUCUGAUCUUGAGGACCGUUUAGACCUCAAUGACUUGACUUGGCUUACUCCAAGUUCAUCCGCAAAUUCGCAGGUGAAUCCCCUGCUCCCGUUACUAAGAAUGAACAUACGGCAUUUCUCCUUUAUUAGUUAUGCCAUAAUCUUUUCUGUACCCGUUCACAGAAAAUUAAUCGUGACUUUGUUCCAAUCGCCAUCAGUUUGUCUAACGGCGAUAGAUUAACUCUAGGGUCUUACUUUCUUGCCUUUGUCUAUAGAGAAAUUUUUGAUUCUAUCAAAAUAUUGCCUUCUGGAGAUGGUAUUGCCAUUAGUUCUGGCUGCGGUGUUUUCUGGUUUCUUCAAAUGUUUUUACAAUUUUAUAUUCCCGCUUUAUGCCAAUCUCCCUUUAAUCCGACUUCGGUUGCUCAAUUCGAUUCUUAUGGGUUAGCUCUCGGCUGUCCACAGCCGAUGACUCUGGGUCAACCCUCUGACUUUCUUACUUAUUUUAAAACUUUUUAUGAGCCGAGUCCUGAAUCGGCUAUUUCUUGGGCUCCCUUUGCUGACCGUCUUACCGGUCCUUCCUGGUUCCUUGCCCGGUUUGAAGCUAUCCGAGAUGAAUUGGCUUCUUCUCGUGCUAGUGAAUACCCAGAGGUCUGGUAUUCCCAUUUGGCUCCAAGAGAUCUUCAUGUGGGGUUGAAAUCACGCUCCAAACUAUUACCAAGCACUGAAGUUUAUUCUCCUCAGUAUGUGGCCCGUCAGUUUGGGUUUGUUCAGCCGAUUCCCGCUCCAUCUAAAUUUUUUACAACUAAUACAGCCGAUCGUCGACCCCCUACUAAAAGUAUAGCCGAAGCUGAUAAGAUUUCGGGUAUGGGAAAUCGUCUUCGUCGAUUCUUUAAAUUAGUGAGCUUCGGGCCGAACUACACAUGAGUUGCUCUUGCUGGUUAUGCUACUAUCUGGGAUCAUUUUACUGACCGUACUCUUGACCUUCUCUUCUUCGGGCAUUCCGAAGAACUAUUCAUCAAGUUGUUUCAGUCGAUCCUCCUGUCUCAUCACCAAGAGAAGAAAUAGAAGAAGCUUCUGAGGUCAGGCCUCUUUCUUCUGUAAUAUACUCACCUUUAUUUUAACUUUCUUUUCAAUAUUCCAAAUACUUAUUUUCUUUUUCUGCAGUCAACUCCAGUUUCUUCAUCGGUCUCAACUUCAGAAAAAAGACCGAUUGAGCCUGCUCAAUUUACUCCUACGCUGCCUUCAAAGCGGCGUAAGUCGGUUGCUAAAAGGUCCUAUUCUACACAUGCCGAAGGUAUUGCUUCGUUUGAUGUAUUAGAGAAAAAAGCUGAAGGAACGCCUUCGGCUCCUAUUCCCGAAGAAACGCCUUCGGUUGAUGUUUCCAAACAAGGCUCUAUUCCUGAUGAGCUCAUUGAGAUUGAGGUAUGUAUACUUGAUUAGUUACUUUAACUCAUAUUAUUUUCUCAACUUGUUUAUCGUUCUUUUAAUAAAACAGUCCUCUCCCGAAAAUAAUUCAAGAGCUCGUUUUGCUUCUUCUUUGAAGGCGCAAAUGGAUAGACAGCUUCGCCGGGAAGCACGUCUUGAAAAGAAACGAGGUAUAGAAAAGAAGAAAACAUCCGUUGCAGAGGCGAGCACGACGCCAUUACCAGGUGAAAUCAUAUCACCUCUUUCUGCCCCAACCCCAACUACAAGGGAUGACAUAGCAAGUGUACCUGUCACGCAAGGUCCUGGAGAAGCGCAAGGCUCUGGUGUCACGCCCUGGUACCGCUACUAAUUUGGUCCGGCCCCGGGCGCGUCGAACAGAUGCCGAACGGACAGGACCUCCCCUGUCCGCCCAAGACUAACCAACAGAUCAUGUAUAAGAAUUUACUCAGGAAUCAAUUCAUAAAUACACGAUCAAGAAGCACCACCAGUGCAACAGCCAAGAGCAAGAUACAAGUAUAGAAACAUAUACAAGUACAUAAGAGAGAAGAUGUUAUCUAUUACAUUCAUUUAGCUCAAUACAUUUAAGUACGUCUUUUACAUUCUUCCAAAAACAUAAAUACAAGCACUCAAACCUCACCCUAUACAUCAUCUACUCUCAAAUACAAAUAAGGGUAGAGCUAACACAAAAGGGUAGGUGGCUAAUGCAACUAAGGCGCCGAGCCCUUACCGCGAUCCUCACGCUCGCCCGGGAAGCUCGAACUCGGACCUGUAAAAAGUGGGGUGAGAACUAACUUCCUUAGUUCCCAGUGGGUUCGGCCGCCGACUCCGCCGGUCUCCCCACUAGGUCCAAGUGGGCACAAGUAGAUAUACCGAUAUAUAGAUAAUAAGAAAAGCUGUAAGGACAGGAAAGUAAAGCUACACUACUAUGCCCAAUCAUAGAUAUAUGAAUGCAUGUCCAAUGAAAUGGUAAGCAACUAACCUGUCGUCAUGUCAAAAAGGUAAAGCUAUGUACUUGUUCAUUAAUCUCAUUUACUAGUUUCUUAAUCCCGUGGCUUCUCUGAAAACUUGCCUACCGCUCACUAGCCAUCUCGAAGGUAGGGAGGGUCAACUCGCACUACGAACCGAGACCGUCUGCCGGGGCCCAAAAUAGGCAAUCCCUUGGGACCCAAAAUAGGCAAUCCCACGUGACCAACUCCGGAGCGCACUACUUGUGUGGGGCUUCCAUCACAAGAUUUAAAAACAGACCGUGAGCAUGAUCCAAUCCUCGUCUCGAGAAUACCCUAUCCUCUAGGGUUACAAUCAUCAUAUAGUCCAUAGGCGUCGUAUACACCAAGUUCAACAUGUAUCACUUGUUUCUUAUACACUAUUAACUAGAUUGCCACUCGUCCAUUGUUUACUAUCGACUAGAUGCCACUCGUUCUUUGUUUAACAUUAGACCAACCAUUGAGCCCGUCUCUUUCUUUGCACUAUAGGAUUCACAAUCUCGACUCAAUCCUUACCGAUCCACUAUAUCAAGUAUCCAAUACAUGCUACGAUAUCAUCAAGGAAAGCAUAAGGAAAGGCAAUGCACAAUCAUCCUAUAAUGCAAUAAUACAAGAUGCAAGAAUCGAAAUGUACUAAGACAUAGAAGGGGGCCCAGUUGCUUCCGAAUGGUCACCACCCACCUCUAGGCGAUGCCGUGACGGUAGAAAACUCGACGCUGCGGUCUUGCGUGUCGCCCUAGCUCCUCGGGGCGAAGCGAUCCCUCAAGUACCCGAUUCGGCGAUUUCUCCGCACCCGCUCGUCGGAUCGAGAAACCGACUUCGCCGACACGUUCCAGGAUCUAGCAAUUAGGUUUGCGACCUAUUAAAUUAGAUCAAAACCUUAGUUUUCCCAAAAUCCCACAUUGAAGCCCUAGGUUUCAAAAAUGGAGAAAUCCGCGGUGCGAGCUUCGAUUUCGAGCUCGAACCAUCUCCCUAGCUUCAAUAGGUUCCAUUCGAACCAUUUCUAAACAACAAAAACCCCAAACCCUAGAAAUACCAUUAGAGGGUCUAGAGCUUACCUUCAACUCAAGGCUCCAAGCUUGCUCUAGCUUGAAGGAGAGGGGAAGAAGAUGAUCUUCUUCUUCUUAUUGAUCUUCUCUUUCUCUUUUCUCUUCUUUUCCUUCUUCUUCUUCUUCUCCUUCUUCUUCUCUUUCUUUUCUUUCUAGAAAGAGAGAGGGAGAGAGUGUGAGAUGGAGAGAGGCAAAUGAGAUGAAGAAAGGGGUCCCCAAGCCUCUAAUAAGGCCAUUUUGCAAUUAGCCCCCUUAACUUUUCAUCUUUAGAACCAGCCCUCUCAGGGCAUUUUCGCAGUGAGGGACCGGUCCCAGUUCCGGGAGACCGGUCCCCGAAAGCUGCACAGCCAGGCAGAGGGGAUUUCGCGUUCGGGAACCGAUCCUUGCCUGAGAGACCGGUCCCCGGGAGACCGGUCCUUGUCCCAGAGAUCGGUUCCCCAGAGCUGCAUUCUCGGGACUUAGCCAAAUUUCAGCUAGUCUUGCUGAGCCAACGUUCGGGAACCGGUCCCUGCCUGCCAGGGACCAGUCUCAUCAGAGACCUCCGUAGCCCAGCCUGAUGGGACCGGUCCCUCCCUGCCAGGGACCGGUCCCCGAGAGCAUUUCUGCUCCAGUGCAAGUUUUGCACUGGUGCUCUCGCGGACCUUUCCUUAAUGCACUUUAUGCAUUAUAGCUACCUUCGGACUUUCCGAAGCCUACACGCUCGACAAAUAGUCGAUUCUAAACCGAAGUCUAAUCCUCGGAUUUCGAGGAUUCACUUCCUUACAUCUGGAGACACAAGCACCAUACCUCCUCUUCCAACUCAUGGGACUUUCCCUUCUGCUCCUGAGGAUUCUCUAAUUGCUACUCUUCAUUCUUUACUGGUUUCAAGUCCCAAUUCCAAUGAAGGGGAUGAUUCUUCGACUAUUAUUUUCUCAUCAAACACUCAACGUAAGUUUGAUGAAUGUCUUAGAAUAUAUAGCAAUGGUCCCCCUUGUUUAGCUCAAAAUCCGGAGCUACUUGAUCGGCUGUACGCUCUCUUAAUCGAUUUGGCUAAACAAACAGAUAUUACUUCUAGUAUUAAAUAUUUUGUAGAGACUCUGUCGUCUCAACUUUCUUCUUUUUUGUAAGGACUGAGAUUUUUGCAGUGUAGCUAAACUCUCAGUUGACGAUGUUUUUGUGUGUAAUUUAAUUACAAAAGCACUCGUCAAGUUUCGGGCGAAAACGAGUUAAAACGGAAAUUCUACGCGAUUUCCAAGUUUCACUUAAAGUGAAUAGUAACACUACAACAAAAACGGUAUAUAGCGACACUUUUAAAUGUCGGUAUAGGUCAAAAAAAGUGUUGCUGGCUAAAUUACCGACACUUUUUAAAAGUGUUGCUAUAUGUGGCGUCGCUAGGUAUAUAGUGACACUUUUUAAGAGUGUUGGUAUAACCUAAAAAGAGUGCUACUAAUAUACCGACACUUAUUUAAGCUUUUAGCAGCACAUAAAAGUGAUGCAAAAUAAUAUUCUAGCAACACUUUUUUUUAAUUUCAGCGACACUUUAUAAAUGUCCCAUUUUUUUUAAAUAUCCAAAUUUUUCUUGAUGCAUCACACUUUUUAAAAUAUAAUACCACUCCACGAUGAUUAUCAUUAAGCAUAUCUUUAAUUUUAUUCGCCUUGAUUUGCAUUAACAAAGAAAGCAUAUAAAAGAAGUUUUGUAGUUAUACUAAUUAAUACAAAAAUAUCUCAAGGUAUUAUCCAUAUAUCUUUAAACGAGUAUUUAGUCACUAAAUCACAGUACCAACAAUUUCUAGCUUUUCAACCCAAGAGAAAGAGAAAUGAAAACAAAAGCUAAUAAUAUCAUAUCAGAUCUAGUCGUAGUGAGUCGGCAAUUAAGAUUUGACCCUACAAAUAAACAAAUACUGACAGUGAUAAAGAUUUCAAAUAGACCUUUUUAACAUAAAAACCAAUUAUAUAAGUUUAAUAUUUACUAAAGGCAAUAGUUGUGGAUGAAAUAAUUUAUAAAACGAGCGCAGAUGUCUGACAACCUUAAACAAAUAAAUUUUUUAGUAUUAGCAUAAUCAUAUUCAUCUAAAAAUGCAUUUUUGACAAUUGAGCAUGCUCACGCCCGCGGGCCGAUUUUAAAAGCCUUUUUAAAAUAUGAUGUUUGCGGAAACUGCCAUUUUUUUUUUUUUUUCAACUCUGGCGCCACUCGACGUCGAUACAGGACGCCGCCCACAAAUACAAAGUUCCUCCCACUCGGACAGAGUCUCCUUUGUUGUUUCACGCGUACACGAUAACAACAGUAUCACAACCCACAAUCACAUUGUUCCAAUCACAACCAAGGCAUAUAUGCUUUCCUACAAGCUAAAGAUCCCUAAAAUGCUCAUUGCCUCUAAGCACUCCUUAGGCGCUGGAUGAUGCAAUGCACAAUACAACAAACAUCCUAUUUAAAAGUGCUCCCCACACGGAAGCUUUUGUUUUUAAACUCUAAUUCAUUCAUUCAUAAAAACCAUUCGAAAACCUUUUUAAAACUGUUUCCCACACGGAAACUCUAUUUUGAAAACCGACUACCUCGAGGGGUAGAAAACCACGAUAUGUAAAUACAAGAAAAUCCGAUAUCCAUAAAAUCAAUAUCCAAAUCCACAAACCUUAGUUUACAUGCAUAAAUAACGAAAGCAUCCCCAGAUCUACCAAAACCAGAUCACCAACAUUCAAACAAUCAUAAAGAUCAGCUAACUGAACCAUAUAAACUAUCUAAACUAUAUCAACAGGACAGUAAGGGUAAAAACUAGACCGAAUAACCUGAGUCGGAAGCUCUAGCAACCACUACGAACGUGUCUCGCGUCUCGUCUCAACUCUCACUGCCGGCGAUACCUGAAAAAUAGUGGGGGAGGUGAGAACAUGUAAACAUGUCUCCCCUCCCAGUGGGUACCGCAAGCCGAUGAAGGCGAGGAGUACUCACCGGAUCAGGAAGAGCUAAACAACAGUACGGGUCAGUAGAAAUGCAGUAGCAAUAAUAAUGAAUGAAAGAGACAUAUAUAUGAAAGAAGUAUAACUAUCGCUACUAUAAUGGACAACUGAAUGUAUACAUGUAACAAGACUAUAGUAGCAAGACAAUGUAAUGAAAGAACUGAAGGUAUACAGGCAACAACCGCUACUAUAGUUAUAUGCGUCAACCGGACAAGGAGUCCAAAUAUACCCAAUCUGGUACCUGCUAUAUUGGUCCGCAGACCUCAAGCGCUGCCUGUCACUAACCUGCACUGACCUGAUUCACCCGCCCCACAGGACGACCCAUCCGGAUAAGUACACCUCCGAUCGGUGGCCAAACCGAUCCGGUGUCGUGAAUACCCCCAAGUGCUGUGACUAAGUCAUGAUGGUAUGCUCAAUACAAAAACCGGCUGAAACCGGUGCCUAGGCCGAAGCCAGAAACAAGGACGUACAACGCCGAACCUCGAUCAACCAGAUCGAAACACAUGACGAGAGAGUCAAUGUGUUACCUGGACCCAAGGUCCACAAAGUCCAACUGACCAGCAAGGUCACUGAUACGAAGUACGAGAACUGACCAACCAGGUCAACAGAUGCGGAAUGCACAACCAACCAACUAGGUCAACAGAUACUGAAUGCAACAACAGACCAACUAGGUCAACAGAUACAGAAUGCAACAACAGACCAACUAGGUCAACAGAUACGCAUGUAGAUAGAACUACUCUACUCCUACUCAGGAUACUAAGUAUGCAAACAACGAGCAGAGUAUAACGAAUAAACAAGGGUGCAAGGCUCAAUAUACUAUGCGAUAGUAACAACAGAAGAGCAGGGGUAAGAAACCGUCACCAAGCGUGCACCACUGUACCGACGUCGGAUCGAAGUACCCACCUAUACGGAUGUCGCGUCUAUCUCCUGACUGCAAAAGAAUGUCGACAGGACCUAACCGAUGACACCCGUCACACACCCUCAAACAUUACUGGCGACCUGACUAACAGGUACCAGGCAAUCGAAAGCGCCUUUAGCCAUCCAGCUAAAGCCGCGCAAAAAGCCGCUUUAAGCGGCUUUCUUGCGCCAAAGCCAAGCCUAAGAAAGGCUGCCACAAACCAACGAAGCACAAAACAGCAACUCGGAACAACCGACCAGUGGUAGUAGUAAAACACCCGAGCUACUACUAUCCACUCGCUGCCUCCCAAGGCCACAGCUUUAUCUGUGAAGGCCCUUGGGCCUAAGCAUGUUAAUAGGCCGCUAUUAACACAUCCCCACAAUAGAACACAAACGACGGUUUUGUAGGUUUAACCUCACAAAACCCCGUCGUCCACUGAGCACUGUGCUCAGCCACUCAAAGCCCUGUGAAUCACCCAGGGCUGCCGCAGGGCCACACCAAAAGCCCUGAAGGCCGCUCAAUGCCAUUAGCCAUAACCCUUUGGCUAGAAGCACCUUAGCAAACACCCCAACACCUAUGACACUAAUAAUCAACACCCAAUCUAUGAUUGGGCCACCUGGGAGANNNNNNNNNNNNNNNNNNNNNNNNNUGGCUCGGCGGCGGCCGGGGCUCAGCCGGCGGCGGCCGGGGGUGGUGUAGCAAGGGCAGGGGGAAGGGUGAAGGUGGCUGGGGCGACUAGGGUAGCUGGGGGCUGGCUAGGGUUAGAGUUAGAUGGCUCCAAACCCUAGAGAGCUUAAAUACAAAGGUGCAACAUCGCAAAUAAGUCCACCGAACCUCAGUUUUUACAACUGAGUCCCUCACAGCGUGUGUAAAACACGUGAACACCCCUCUAUGUGCGAUCCCACGCGAAACGGUACAUAAAAUAUCGCGACUUUCACGAAAAUACCAUUUUGCCACUACCGUCCUCUCCUCAAUCAACGCGCGAUCUCCGCAGAUCCGUCCGUCAGAUUUGCGAACGGAUUGCACCGGUGCGAUCAACACCUCGGAGACAACAAAGCUGCGAUUUCGUUUCGUCUUGAUCGACCACGGAUUCACGACAAAAUCCAACCUUCUUCGAAUAGAAGGAAACACACACAAAAAUACAUAUAAAACAUGUAUUUUUGGAUUUUCUCGAAAUCCGUGCGUCAAAACCAAAAUCCGUCAGUGCCAUUAGCUCCAGAACAACUGACCCGGUCGAAACGAGCUAUUGGACUGCUAUGAACAGAGUCCAGUACGAGCCAGAAGCCAACUUCUCACCGUGGCUUCUCCGGAAAAUCGAGUUACUAUUCACUUUAAGUGAAAACUAAUAAUCGCGUAACUUCUCCGUUUUAGCUCAGUUUCUCCUGAAACUUGACGAGUGCUUAUGUAAUUAAAUUACACACAUAAACAUCAUCAACAGAGAGUUUAGCUACACUGCAAAAAUCUCAGUCCUUACAGAGCAAGACAUUAUUUAAGUGACAGAUUAUCAUACUCAAAAUGCAAUUUAAUACAUGCAUUUCCAUUUCGUAUACAAGUAGUAAUUAAGAUGGUGGCUCCCCAAUCGAUUGCACUUAAUAAUUCACUUACCAAUGGAUGGAAAACAUGAAAUCAAUUAAGUUAGAGCUGAAAGCAAUUAAUCAGAUUUUGAUUAAGAGAAGAACAAAGAGAAGCAAAAGAACAAAGAGAUGCUGAAAAUUUUGAGUGGUUUCUAAUCCUUGCCUUACAUAUAAUCAAUAAUACAAUAUAAUACACCAAAUUUAUGCCAUAACUCAGGAGAAUAUAUUCUUUACAGUUCAUAAGCAUUAAUAGCAUUAAUACUAGCAAUAGCAUCUAUUACAUAAUAUGAAUCCUCAAUAUUUUUGCCACGUGGCACCCCCUCCCUCACCCUUUUACUCCCAUUUCCCUUCUUUCCCCGCUAUUGCUAAUUGUCACCUCCAAUAAAUAAAUAAAUUUAUUAAUUUUUUAAUUAAAAUUAACAAUCCUUCAUUACCUAUUGGGGGCAUUUAUUACCCUUCAUUUUUAUCCUUACCGUUACAUCCCUCCACUACCUAUAAUAAAUAAAUUUACUGAUUUUUUAAUUAAAAUUAACAAUCCUCCACUACAUAUUUAAGACAUUCAUUUCUCUUCAUUUUUACCCUUACCGUUACAUCCCUCCACUACCUAUUUAAGACAUUUAUUUUCUUUCAUUUUUAUGCCUAUAUAAUUAAAUUAAAUGCCUACUUUCAAUGAAUGAUUCUUCAAUGUAAUUGACAACUUCUUCUCAUAUCUUGGUGAUGCUUUUACUGUCUACAAUUAGUUAGUAUUUUGGGUUUCUUUUUAAGACUUCUAAAAUUGAGUUUUUAUUGAUCGUCGUCUCCACCAAGUGUGGGCACUAUGCCGACAGGUUCGACUUUAGAGCCAAGCACGUGUCGCGCGGCGUCGACGAGAGUCUCACCCGCCUCAAGCUCGACUAUGAUUUGAUCAAAAAUUUCUAUAUUUCUCUAAUUUAGUUUUCUCGAUUAUGAUUUUUCAGAAAGUUUUUUUUUGGUAUUUUGUUUGAACUUUUUUGUUGGAAUAAGAGGAAGAUAGGAUUUUAUUAAAAGAUUUAUUUUUUUUACCUGAAGAAACAUAAAGUGUAAGCUUAUAUUUUUAUUUUCUUCAUAUAUAUAUAUAUAGUAGAUAAUCUCUCUUGCUUUCUUUGUAGAUGUAGAUAAUUACGGAACCAUGUAAAUUUCAGAUUCAUUCAGUUUCUAACGGUAUAAUGGUAAACUAUCUUGAUUUUUAUAUUCAAAGUUGAGUAUUUAAAACUCAAAGUAACUCACAAUAGGUUUUGAGGCUCUUUUGUGCUGUAAUUUAUGCAAGAAAAUUUAUACUUUUAUUUUCUGGGUUUGCAGUCUAUUUUGAGUUAAUUGAAAGUUAAUGUUGUCUAUUUUAAAAAUCUAUUUGGCAAAGUAAUUGGUGUUUUUAUUUUUAUUUAUUGUUCUGUUUCCUUUCUCUAUCUGUCUUUAUGCUAGAAUAAAUAGAUAUUUUGAAGAUCAUUACAAAAUGCUUUGAUUAUUCUAUAGGCUGUGUCAUGCUAUGAAGAUACUUCUUUUUUGAGAGGAAUUGGGGAAGCGUCAGUCUUGAUGGUUGGCUCCUGGAAUAUUCUUCCAGAUUAUUAUUUUCUCUUGAUGGUCUACUUCUCAUGUUAUUGUCCUAUUCUUUUUGUAGCAUCAAAAUAUUUGUUUCGUUUUUUCUAAUUUUCCAUUCGAUUAGUAGUAUUUCAUUCUAUUUCAUUUGUUUAAGGAAUGGAAUGGUAGGCUGUGAAGUAUGCACAACAAAAUAUUAAUUUGAAUUGCUUUCUUCUUCUUUUUUUUUUCUUUUUUUUUUAAUGUUUGAUUUGAUAUGGCGACGUAAAUUGAUUCAAAUUAACCUGCAGAGAUUAAUUGACGAUAUGGAACGUUCCAUGGACAAUCCGAGUCGAUCCGGUAAACUGCUAGGAAGGUUCCUUUGAUUUUUCCUCCUUAGCAGUGCAAUUCAAUUAUAUCUGAAGCUGAGAAGUGAUUUUUUUUUCAAAAUUUUGCAGUGGCCUCUCCUAUUGUCUUUGCUUUUAUUGCCUGUCACUCAAGUUUUUGUAUUGGCUAUAGCUCACUGCAUAUAACUAUUACUUUUGUUGAUAUUUUACUCUUUCUAAAAUUUUACUACAAUGCUCUUCAUUGUGAACUAAUAUUUUAAUACUGGCAUACUAUAAUUUUAUUUACUUAUGUUCAUAUUUUAUUAUUUAUAAAUUUUUUACUUUAGCAGUAAUUACCCGCCGCAUCGCGCGGGUACCUACACUAGUGUUCCUCCAUACACUAAUACUGCAAAUGAAAACUUAAAAACCAAAGAGGUAUUAACUUGUUAAGGAACAGAAAAAAAAAAGAAAAAAAAGUCUUCUUUAAGCACCAAAACUGCAAUCAACAAAUAAUGUAAUAAAACCACUGCACUAAGUACACAAAAUAUUGCGGCCAAAACCUAUUUUGGACCCAAUAAUCUUGUAUUCAAUUGUUUCAAUUUUACCAAAUUAGAUACAAUCCACACAGCAAAGCCGCAAUUAUCAAAUCAGGAACGAGCUAAAACGAAACCAAUAAAACAUGUAUUAAGCAAAAGAACAAAGCGUUCAACACUAACAAUUUCAUUUGUACUAAACAAAUAUACGAUCCUGUGCUUUGCUUCCCACACUUGGUGCUACGAUAACAUGUGCCAAUUGAUCAUUUGGAAGAGUAAUUAGAUCAUGAAAUACUAAAAAGGGCCUUGAUGCCAAAAGUUUUGUCAAACUCCCUUAACAAUAAACAUUGACCACCGAUCUAUCUUUCAGAGUAGAAAUACAAUCCCUCUUCCCGUAUCUAUAUUUAUAUUCAAAGGACCAUCACAAAUGUAUAUACUGCGUCCUGCUAAGUCUAAUUAUAAAAGUAAAAUAUAAAAAAGGUAACUUAUCUCAAUGACAGGAAGAAGAAAAGGUCGUAAAAAAUGUUAUACAAUGAUCAUAACUUUAACAGUGUACUGUUUAACUAUGGAAAUACUCUAUAUUUCUCGAGAAAAGAAAAGAUUUGCAAAACGGUGAGUUACUUCAAAAGGAGAACUGUUAAGACAAAAAACAAAAAAAUCUCUUUCUAGAUCAAUAUUCCAAACUUCAUGCACUUUGAAGACAAGCAAAAAAGAAUCAUGCUAAUUAUUGAAUAAUUUCACAGUAAUAAUAUCGGCCUAUCACUUUGAUUUUAAAUAUAAAGCCUUACGAUGAGUACAAAUAUAUAGAUUGUUGGAGAACUCUAACAAAGGCCAACAAAAGAAGAUAAUUAUAAUUCAUAUGCACAAAAGUAUUAUAAACCUCAUUGUCAUAGUAAAAAUUAGCUCAUCUAAACAACUACACUAUGAUUCAUUAGCAUAACUAUUACAUUCAUCAAGAGUUGUUCUCUCAAUAUCUGUUCUAACCCAAAAAUGACUAUCCCGUGGGUUAUCAAGCAAGUCUUCUAGAAGUGAAACAUGAUAAUGUUCAUAUUUCACAUCUACCAAAUUGUCGUCACCCAUGUCGUAAACAUCUCUAGGCUUGAACUAAAUUUCCUGUUGCUAAUUUCUUAACCUAUGCCUGCAGAUUUCUGUUCUUGCAACUAAAUUUCCUGAUUUAAAGGUGUUAAGGAGCUGUGAUCUACUACCUCCCAGUUGGAUCUCUGUAGCUUCGUAUGGCCUUCUCACCUUGUUUUGUUAGUACUCUUUUAUUAACCAAUCUUUUUUUUUCAUUUUUUUCAGUACAGAAUACAGAAUGAAAGGACCCAGACUUCACAGCGAAUGGAAAUGGAAGAGCAGGAAAUGUAAUUAAGCGACAAUUUGUAAGAUAUAAAAAAGAUAAUGGCGUCGAGGUGGAAUAGCAAACCUGGCCGUGAACUUUUGAAGCCCGAUUCAACUUAAUUAAUAGCUGUUAUCUCAGUCACUCACAAAGUUAAAAGGAAAGAAAACGAAUAAGCAAUCGUACGUAGAUCCAAACUUUGUUUAUUUGCUUUGUAUUUAUUGUCGAAUCAUAUUAGUGGGGUCACCAGGGGAUCGCCAUGCCUUAAUUACAAAGAGAAGUUAGAACCAGCAUUAUAUAUAUAUAUUCGAGUUAUUUUUGCUAAUGUCUAAAAUGUGAUCUUUUAUCAACUUCUCAUAUUUGUUUCCAUAUAUAUGGGUGCUUAAACUAGCAUUUGGAAAAACAACGAAAUCUUACAAAGUCACUGAAAAGUUUGGUAGGAAGUGUUUGGUUAAUUGAGGGAGGUGCUAUUUGUGAGUGACAAAUGAUAUCUUACAAAGUCACUGAAAAGGACAAGGACAUGUUUCUGGAGGUGAUGAUGUCAAAGUCCAAAGAAAUCCUUCAUAAAAACCAGAGAAAUUUUGUAAAGCAAAAGGCAUGAUACUCUGUUUUGGGGUCUUUGGCAAACCCUUUAUCCUGCAAAAAGAAUCCCUCUGCUGUUUGAAACUGUAUUGUGGAUCUUCCACACUGCAAUAUAUUAUCUUAAAAACAAGCCCAGCAAUUAGAGGGUCAAGAGUAAUUGGAUCUGUCCUUGUCCUUUUACAAAGGAGGCAUUUGUUAUAAUUGUUUACAAACUACAUGUUUGAUAGAUUUAUAUAAAUAUAUUUUUCCAGUUAACUGCAGGAUGAACAACAUACUACACACUUCAUCUAUCUUCUAACAAGCUCACCAGAUUUACAUUUGCCAAUCCAAUAAAUCGAAAGUUCGCAACAUAAUUGCACAUAUUUCCACUACCUGAACUAAGCAAAUAGGAUCAUCAAAAGAAAAUAAAAAACAAAACAAAACAAACUCGCAACAUAUCAAAAUUGGUGAAACAUUAAUCUAUAUAAAUGGAGGAGAUUGAUCAUGAUGUGGGCAAAAGGAUGCAAAAGCAUUUGCUGUCACAAGUUAAUAUCCACCAGCGCCUCACAACACAUUCUCAUAAGAAUUAUAGAUCUGAAUAUCUUCUUAGUUGCACACAUAAUGCACCAAUUCUAGAUAGAGUUAAAACUUCCUACAUUCCUGACUAAGUUACAUUCGAAAAACACACCGAUAAGAACAAGUAUUAACUAGUAGAGCAAUUGAUUUGAACGAAACCCCCAAUUAUAUUGAUCAAAAUAUCUCAUACGAAACCAAAUGGGAGCUGAGGGAGUUUCCCUUAAUUAUAGGUCAUUAAGGGAGGUAAUCCAAUAUCCAUACCAGUUUACCUCGUCAUAAAAAAGCAUACGUAAACCAUGAGAAAUAUACAAAAGUACGGCCAAAUAGAAAAGAUGCAAUGAAUGGAAGCUAAAACAUAAUAGAUAAUUCAUUUGUUGAUGAACAAUGCAUAAAAUACUUAAUUUAGCAAAUUAAUUCACAGGUCAUCCAUAAUUUUCAAUGGUUUUUUUGUCAAAAUUCAUAUAUAACAGUAGCGAACAACACAGAAAUAGUGGAGCAACAAAUAAUUCGUGAAAAAUCUCUAAAAUUUCUAAAAAAAAGAAAAUAUAAAAUCGGAGAACACAGUGACUAUGCCUUAGACUUGGUGGGGAACGAGAACAAGGCGAGGUCGAGGGCGAAGGGAGGAGCCCAGGAUUUGGGUGGUACGAUGCGGCAGAUCCCGAAGGGCUCAGCGAGGGGCCGGAUCUGGUCUAUGUAGGCGAGCGGGUCCACGAACUCCUCCUCCGUGGGGUAGAACACGGGAGCGUGGGGGAUGCCGACGCCGCCGCCGCCGCCGUCGCCGCCGCCGUAGGAGGCGGCGGCGGCGGAGGAGGAGGCGGCGGCGGCGGAUGAAGGGUCGGAGAGGUGGGCGGCGCCGCCCUUCACGACGUCGCGGGGGCGACCCUUCGCCAUCUAGGGUUUCGGUUUGCGUUGGCGCGGGGGGGAAGAAGCUCGGGUAGUUGGAGGAGGAGAACGAUAGAGUGGAUUUUAGUGGAGGAGAAUGAUGCGUCACGUGAGAGACUAUAUGGGUCGAGGUGGAAGGGGUUCGUGGAGAUGGUGAUCGGAGAGGGGAGAACGGGAGAUAGCUCGUGACUCAGUUUUUUUUUUUUUUUUAAGUAAUUGGGCCGGGUGGGGUGGGGUGGUGGAGCAGGAUAAUUUUUUUGUAGGGCUAGAUUGGGCUUCAUAUUUGGGCCUUGAUUAUUUUUUUUAAAAAAAAAAUUGGAUAUAUAGGACACUUGUAUAAAAGUGUCCCUAAAAUGUGUCACUAUAACCUAGUUUUGUUGUAGUGUAACUCGAUUUUUCGGAGAAGCCACGGUGUGAAGUUGGCUUCAGGCUCGUAUCGGACUCCGUUCCUAGCGGUCCAAUAGCUCGUUUCGACCGGUUCAGCUGUUCUGGAACUAAUGGCGCUGACGGAUUUUGAGUUCGACGCACGGAUUUCGAGAAAAUCCAAAAAUACAUAUUCUAUAUGUAUUUAGGUGUGUUUUCUUCUGUUGAAAGGAAGGUUGGAUUUUGUCGUGAAUCCGUGGUCGAUCGAGACGAAACGAAAUCGUAGCUUUGUUGUCUCCCUCGUGCUGAUCGCACUGGUGCGAUCCGUUCGCAAAUCUGACGGACGGAUCUGCGGAGAUCACGCAUUGAUCGAGGAGAGGUCGGUAGUGGCAAAACGGUAUUUUCGCAAAAGUCGCGAUAUUUUAUGUAUCGUUUCGCGUGAGAUCGCACGUGGAGGGGUAUUCGUGCAUUUUAGUCGUGCUGUGAGGGACUCGGUAUGAAUUACCGGUGUUUGGUGGACCUUUUUGCAAGUUGCACCUUGUAUAUAUAAGCUCUUUAGGGUUUUGUUUCACCUAACCCUAACCUAGCCCUAGCCAACCACCCAGCCGCCUCCCUCUCCUUCCCCUGCACCUGCUGCGCGCGCCCAGGCCGCCGCCGACCGAGCCCCGGCCGGCCAACCACCGCGGCAGCCACCACUUUCCUCCCUCGCCCUCUCUUUCUCUCUCCCUCUCUCCUCUCGGGUUGUGUGGAGGCUCGGGGCUGCGCCACCUUUAGACCCUCCCCCAGGGUCGCCCCGUGCUCCGGCACCCCUUCCCGCCGGUCGCCGUCGCCGCCUCGGCCAGUUGCAGCCGCCCCAGCCCGAGCCCAGGCCGAGAGUUUGUUGCGACCUCUUUCCCGCGUCGCCGCCAUCUUGGGCCACCCCGAGGCACUUCUCCGGCCUACUGCAACCCGCCGCCGACGUCCCCGACCUACCCCAGCCGCCGCCAUGGCCGCAGCUUCCUUGGAACCCGAGCCCGAGCUCGUGUGGGCUGAGCUUGCUCCGCCGCUGCCACCGCCGCUUCUCGUCUCCAACGGAGGUGAGCUUCGUGUCCCUCACCUCCCCCGCACCCGACUCUGGGCCCCGCGCGCGCCGUCGUGCCGCCGGAGGCCGGCCGGAGCAAGCUUGCUCCGGCCAAGCCCGAAAUAGGGCUUAUUUGAGUGGGUUUUUGUUUCUAAGGUUCCUGAGCCUCCCCGAUCUGUACGGAAGGGAGCACGAUGAUCGUAGCUAGUUGCUGAUCAUCGUGCUCACCUUAGUUUCUGUCGGGGAGACUCCAUUCCGCUGUUUUUGCGGUGUCGACCCUGUGGAGCCUUUUUGUCUGCUAUUUUGGGUUUGUGCUUAUUUUUUCGGCGAUCCGAGGCUGUUUCGAUGCCUCCGGAGGUGAGCACGGUGACUGCUGGUCAGUGCUGAUCACAGUGCUCACCUUUCUUUGGAUCAGAAGUGUCCGGUUAGUCCUGUUCGGCGCGAUCUUCCUUGACUGCGCGCUGUUCUCUGAACUUUCGGGUUGCUUCCGCGCUCCCACGGUGAGCCGCUGUGCUCCGGAUCGUUAGCACGGACUCCGGUACGUCGAGACCUGUCAGUACGUGUCUCUGCGGACUUUAGAAAUUCUCGGUUUGCGUGAACGAGCCGCUUGAUCGCUCAAUUUACAUAAAAUAAUAGAAUUUUAUGUAAGUUGAGGGGCUUUUAUGCAAUUGUGCAUUGUGUGGCUACUGUGGGCAAUGUGUGUGAGUGUGUUUGACCUCUAGACUGAUUGUCCAUGAUCCGUUAGCUUUUGCGGAAAUCGAAGAGUCGAUUUCGGUGCGUUUUUCGGCGAAAUUCGCCGAAAGAACACGGUUUUGGUUCGGAUUUCUUCCGACAUGGUUUGGUUGUCUUGUGUGUGGUCGCUGAGCCUUGUUGGCUAGUCACCAUCAUCAUUUUGUGGGUUCGGUGAUGAUGGGUGAGCGACGGUGGGUUCCGGUGUCGAAAUAGACACUUUCGGGAACUCGGAUUCGUACAAUUAUCCGGCAAUAAUUGUGUAGUAGUGAUAUCUUGUGUUUGCUGCCAAAACAUCCAAAUUGGAGUGUUUUGGGGCAGCAGGCGACUCGUGACACGAGUCGGUGAGUUUCGGGACACUUAGUGGGUCCCGACGGCGUCCCGGUGUGGUUUUCGGGACUUUCGGUGAGUUACGGUAAUCGGUAUUGGGAAACCGAUCUUCAUGAAAUUGUUUGUGGGGUUGUGGAUACUGUGAUUACUAGUUGUGGGUUAGAUACUAACCCGGUGGACCCUCUAUAGGUCCUGUCAACUUUUUUUUGCAGUCAGGAGACAGACGCGACAUCCUUACAGGUGGGUACUUCGACCCGACGUCGGUACAGUGGUGCACGCUCGGUGAUGGUUUCUUACCUUUGUUCUCUCGUUAUUAUCUGGCAUAUAUAUAUAUCUUGCUAUAUAGUGUUGAGCCUAGCACCAUGUUGUUUCAGUUAUGCUCUACUCGGUUAUUUUCGUUAUAUCUAGUAUCAUGAGUAGGAGUAGAGUAGUUAUUCCAUGUUUCUUUGUUACUCUAUUUAGCUGUUCUGCAUAUCCGGUAUCAUGUUUAGAGUAGAGCAUCUUCGUGACUUUCAUUGUUUGAUGACCGUUGAGGUCGGUAUAUCCUGAGGAGUGAGAUUGUCGGUUAAUGGCCGACGGAUGAUUAUAGUUUUCACAGAUCUGUCAUUUGACCCUUUGUGACCUAGUCUGUCAGUUCUGGAUUCUUGUCGUUUGAUGACCCACGAGGUCAGUGUACCCUGAGGGGUAGGAUUGUCAGCUAGUGGCUGACGGCAGUUCCAGAUUAUAGUGAUACAUUCCUGUGACUUAUUGGUUGAUUCCUGCAUCUAUACUUUAGUUGAUCCAUCGAGCAGUAUUUCCAUACUUUUGAGAGGAUGUUGAGUCGAUUCGUUGUGCAUAUAUCCUAGUUGACCUGAGUGGUCAGUCCUUGUGGUUCAUUGAGCAGUACUUGCAUAUGUUUGAGAGGAUGUCGAUGUUGUCCCAUCUAGUGACGACUAGUGACUUGUCGUUGGGCUUCCUUACAGUUGAUGACACUUUUGGUCGGUUAGCCCCGAGGGCGGUGAUUGUCGGCUGAUUGCCGACAGUUGCUAUUGACAUAUCUGCAUUGAUCGCCACACUCAGAUGCAUUUCACGUACACCAGCGGGUUGAUCCCCCGCAGGAGGGUGUGUUUCCGGAAAUGUGCGUACAUCCGACCCUGAGCCAGCGGUUUCUUUGUGCUAGGGUUACAUGCCAGGUGUGAGCAGGUAGUGGCUUUUGCCUGAGGUCCUUAGUCCGACACGGCGGUUGAGAUUGGGUACUUUUGGACUCUCGUCCAGUUGACGCAUAUAGCUAUAGUACGGUUGUUGUAUAUAACUUCUAGUUCUUUUUUAAGUUUCUUACUACUAUAGUUUGAUAUCCUUGUAUACUUGUUGUACAUUAUAGUAGCGGUAGUUGUGCUUUCAUAUAUAUAUUCAUUCGUUCAUUAUCGUUCUACUGUAUUUACUUAUCCAUACUUUUGUUAUCUCUUCUGAUCCGGUGAGUACUCCUCGCCUUCAUCGGCUUGCGGUACCCACUGGGAGGAGACAUGUUUACAUGUUCUCACCUCCCACCAUUUUUCAGGUAAUGCAAGUCGAUAGUUUUGGGACGAGACGUGAGGUACGUUCGUAGCGGUCGAUAGAGCUUCCGACCCAGGUUAUCGAUUUAGUUUUUAUCCUUACUAUUCUGUUGUUAUAGCUUAGUUAGUUUAUAUGGUUCAGUUAGAUGAUCAUACUUGAUGUUUGAAUGUUGUGAGCUGGUUGAAUUUGUGGAUUUGUGGAAUUGUGGAUUUGGUUUAUGGAUCUUCAGUUUUGGGAUGUUUGUAUACUUUGUGGUUCGCGGAUUUGUAUUUAUGGAUUUACGCAUCGUGGUUUUCUACUCAUCGAGGUAGUCAGUUUUCAAAAUAGAGUUUCCGUGUGGGAAACAGUUUUCAAAAGAUUUUUGAAUGAUUUUCAUGUAUAAAUGAAUUAGAUUUUAAAAACAAAAGCUUCCGUGUGGGGAGCACUUUUAAAUAGGAUGAUUGUUGUACUGUACAUUGCAUCAUCCAGCGUCUAAGGAGUGUUUAGAGGCAUGCAUCAUCUCUAAGGAUUGUUAGCUGUAUGAAAAUGCAUAUCAUGAAUUGGUUGCUGAUUGAAAAAUGUAGGUUGUGGUUGUGAUCCUGUUGUAUCCGUUGGUACGCCGUGCAAAUACAAAGGAGACUCUGUCCGAGUGAACAGAUGAACUUUGUAUUUGUGGCGGGUCUGUACGUCACGUGGGCCAGGUUGGGAAAAAAAAAAUGGCACAUCUUCCGCGACUCUCAGAUUUCAAAAUGGUAAUGGCUUUUAAAAUCGGCCCCGGGGCGUGACAUUUUUUGGCUCGGCAACAAUCUUUGGGUGCCGAUCUCUUAUCUUUAGAUCAACAUUUUCAUCGCAUUGAUCACUUUAAGAGGAAUAUCCCUGAAAUAGCUGAUCCUAUUACUGAAGUAAAUCAUGAGGAUCAGAUUUUAGCCAAUCAAGAAUUGGCUUUACAACAGCGGAUUUCAACCCUUAAAGACGAGUUAGCAGCAGCUGAAUCAACUUUAGCCCAAACCUCUGAGCGCCAGCUUCAAUUGCAGAGCCAAUUAAAGGCUAAAAGAGCAGAAGGAUUGCAAAUUCAGGAAGAGCUUUCUUAGCUCUACAAGGUGCAUCCUUUGAUGAAGCGCUGAAGAAAAGCUGCCGAAGCUGCCCAAGCCAACCUUAUAGCCGAAUGGAACCAACUCAAAGAUUUGUUAAUUUGAUUCGGCUUGUAAUGUUUUAACUUUAAUCUUGGUUUUUUUCCCACAUAGAUGGGUAAUAUUUCUUUAAAUAUUUUUCAUUAAUUGAUUUUUCAUUUUCUAACCCAUCUCUGUUCUGCAAAUAAUAUGCAUUUCCUCUUGUGAUUCGACUGACUUGAAAUGGCCCGUCCCAAUUUGGAGACCAUUUUCCAUAUGUUCGGUCUUUUUGACCGAUCGAAAAAACCAGCCGAAGUACUAAAUCACCGACAGCAAAUAUCUUUGAUCGAACCCUCUUAUUAUAUGCGCUACACACUCGGCUUUGGUAUGCUUGCAUAUUAUCUAAAGCUAUUAACCGAGUAUCACACACUUCCGCUGCUUUGUCCUUCAUUAUAUUACUGUAUUCAUCAGCCGACAAAUCUUUUUGCUUUUCUGUCCUCAAAGAAGGAACUGUUAUCUCGGCUGGAAUUACGGCCUCAUGUCUGUAAACUAACUGGAAAGGCGUCAUCCUUGUUGCCGUUUUCACUGAAGUUCGGCAUGCCCACAAUACUUCGAAAAGUUUUUCAUUCCAUUUUCUUGGAUGCUUUCCGAUGUGUCGUUUCAUCAGGUUGAUGACUAUUUUAUUUGCUACUUCUACUUGUCCAUUUGCUUGGGCAUAAUAAGGAGAAGAAUGGAGCAGUUUUAUUUUUCGAGACUCGAUGAACCGAACGAACUGUCCACCUGUGAACAUUGUCCCUUGAUCGGUCGUAAUUGUCUCGGGAAUUCCAAAGCGAUGAAUUAUAUAGUCUUCAACAAAAUCAAUAAUUUCUUUUUGGGUAACCAACCGAGUAGGUUUUGCUUCCACCCACUUAGUGAAAUAAUCUACAGCCACUAUUAAAAAUUUGUGACCAGCUGAGGAGUUCGGCUGAAUUUCUCCAAUUAAAUCCAUGGCCCAGCCUCGAAAAGGCCAUGGUUUAAUAAUUGCAUACAUCAUAGAGGCCGGAACUCUCUGGAUUGAGCCAUGAAAUUGGCAAUCCUGACAACCUUUGGCAUAUUUUAGGCAAUCUUGAUGCAUUGUUGGCCAAUAAUAUACUAAGUGCCGAAUUGUCCAUCUUAACUUUUUUUCGGCUAAAUGGGUCCCACAUAUUCCUUCAUGUGUUUCUCCCAUUAUUAAUAGAGCUUCUUCAGGUCCUAAACACUUUAAUAGAACCUCUUCGGCUGUUCUCUUGUAAAGUUGACCAUCUAAUAAACAAUAGCCGAGAGCUCUUCUUCGAAUAUUAUAGUCGACCCUUGUAUUAGGAUCCUCCAGAUAUUUGAUUAAUAAUUUUCUCCAAUCUUCCUUUACUUCUAUGGGAGCUAUAAUCGGUUCUCGUAUGUGAACCAAAGGCAGCAACCUCCUCUGUAUUACUAUUGAUUUUAACUUCGGCUCUCUAUAUCCUGAAGCCGAUUGAGCUAGUUCAUUAGCUUUUUCAUUUUUUUGUCUGCUCAAAUGUUUGAAUUCAGUCUCUCUGAAUUCGCAUAGCAACUCUAAUGUCUUCCUUAAAUAGUUUUGUAAAUUUGGGUUUUCACAUCGGUAUUCCCCAUUUACUUGUUUGAUUACUAACUGUGAAUCACCGAUGACUUUGAUUGAUUUUGCUUUCAAUUCUUGUAAAAUUUCUAGGCCGAUUAUUAAGGCCUCAUAUUCGGCUUGAUUGUUAGAGCAGCCGAAAUCUAGCUCGAAAGCAAAUUGGCAUGAAUACCCUUUAGGAGAUUGGAUAACUAUUCCAACUCCUGCUGAUUCGGUUGUUCUUGAGCCGUCAAAAUAAAGUAUCCAAGGCUGACAACCGACUAAAUUUUGCUUCGGUUCUUCCAAUUCCACACAUGGAUGAUCAGCCAAGAAGUCAGCUAUCUCUUGUCCUUUAACGGCUUUAGCUGGAAUAUAAUUAAGGAAGAAUUCAAACAAAGCCAAUAUCCAUUUUCCAAGCCGACCUCUUAAUACAGGUUUAGCCAACAUAUACUUUACCAGGUCGGUUUUGUAUAUUACCGACACCUCAGUAGGUAAAAUAUAAUAUCUUAGCUUUGUGCAUGAAUAGUACAAAGCUAAACAUAAUUUUUCAAUAGCCGAAUAUCGUUUCUCAAUAUCUAAAAAAACGUCGGCUUAAAUAAUAAAUGGCUUGUUCUUCUUUUUCAUCAUUUUCCUG
rnacentral:lncRNA from 1 species